UGUGGUUGAAGGCAAAUUUAAUUAUAAAUUACCAACAAUGAUAACAUUUAUAAAAUUUUACAAAAUAAAUAAAGAAAGCUGAAAAUUCUUAGAAAAAACAAUUAUAGAAAAGAGCUCCAAUUCAAAGGAGUGAAUAAUAAAGAAUAAUCACCAAAAGCCUUAGUAACGGAAGCCUAAAGGGAACAUGGGACCUAGCAAAGGCCCAAACACACCCUUCCAAGAACUUUCCUCAUCAUUAUAGAUCCUCUAUUUCUCUCUAGCAAAAAAUUCCAUAUAAUCAUGAAAUAAGCAUUUUGCCAAAGAAACACCCUUCUAUCAUGAAAGGUGAAUGAAUAAGACCUCAUCUGUCAAACCUACGAAAACAAUUGGUAGCCAUAUGACUCCCAAGAUUCCCAAAAUACUAUUCUAAAUCCCUCAAGUUUGAAACAAACUAGCAGACCCACAGUACACAAUCCAGACUUUCUGCGGCCUCUUUACACACCUCACCAUUGCCCAACAGAACGAAAGAUAGAUUUGUAAAUAUGAUUCAUGAUUGUCCUAGCGUAUUAAGAACACCCUUGAAAAACCCAAUCCUACAUUUUGUAAGCACCUCCAUUUUGUAUUGUUGAAGUUGAGUUUUUACCAUUCACCAGGACUGAGAUAAAAUCUUUUGGAAAGGUCCAAAUACUUUCUAGUCAAUAGAUACUUACAAAUGUAGUCCAUUCAUCGCAUAUAGUAGUCCCAACCUCAUAGAUUUUCCCUCGUUUAUCUGUUGAUCCCUAAUUUGACUGCCAAUCAUGUGGUUCCCACAGAUUUUUCUGUAGGUGUCAUUUGCUUGGUGAGCCAUCUCUUGACAGUGCUCAUAACAAGGGUCCCUUUCGAGACUCCAGUUUUCAGUUCCACUGCAAAAUUGAGGUGAAUAAUUUCCAUUGGGAUUUUCUACUGUCAGUACCAGAGUUGCGAGUAUUUCAAAUUUCUUAAACUCAUGGAAAAUUAAGUAGAAUGAAAAGCUUGUACUACUAAGCUUAUGAUGGAUGUAAAUAUAUUCAUUAGCUAUAAAAUCAUCAAUGAUCUUAUUUUAUUUUUAUCAUGAUUCUUUCCUUUGAUGUAUUAAGUCUUUCUCCUAAUAUAAGAAAGCUAUUCACCUUACAUUUGAAAUAUAACGUAUUUUAUUCCAUUUAAAACUACAAUGGUGGAGAUCCUGUGCUCGCCCCUUUAUUAUCCAUUUAAUAUUAAUUUUCGCUUGUUGGGUUUCUACAUAUUUCAAACUCACAAAUGAGGGGAGUGUUAAAAUGUUGAUAUAAUAUUAAAUUUGCCUUCACCCAUAAACUCAGACUUUUGGGUUAAUAGGUGAUUUAAUAGUUCAUAAAUUAUAUUCCCUAUCAAAUUUGCCCCAUAAUAUAGUACAAGUUCGAAACCAAUGGAGCUUGGUUGGAGAUUAAGAAGAUUUUAAGAAUCAACACUUGAACUGUUAAACUAGAAGUUUUAGGAAAUCUUUAUAAAAAGUGUGUUUUACAAAAACAACUAAACAAAAUAAUGAAAUGUACUGUAAUGCAGAUUGGGAGAUUGGUUACAGGAACUUAUCUCUUAAUACGUCUGGUAACCUUUUUUGUAUGUUAGUUUGUAGUUUUCCUUCGAGGAGUAAUCUUAAUGGGGCAUAUUUCAGCUGGAAGCUCUAUAAGACAGCAUCCGGUUGAUGAGAUUUAGAUUCCUUCAGUUUAAAGGCUGGAAGGAUCCUUCAAUUUUUCUUUAAUUUCAAAUCCAAAACUGGAGCCUUGACCAGAACCAUUACAUUUCAGUUAUUCUUAUAAAAAGCUGACCGAUUAUAUUCAGACCUUCUUUAAACAUAAAAUUAAAUUCUUAUCCUCUUCUAUAUGCGCACACUAGUCUCUAACUUGUUAUCAUCCCACAUAUGGCACACCAGACGCUUGGAGACCAAGUUAUGUAACCAAAUAUACCCCCAUACAAUAUUGGCAUGCAUCCUUUGUAAUCCGAACAACAAUAAUCACUAUUUUAGCUAAAAUGUGAAAGCCAAUGGAAUCCAUUUCCCGCCUCAAAAUAACUGUCAAUUCCCUCAAAUAUUCAAGACCAAAAUCCAGAAGACAUUCAGCAUUCUUUACGAAACUGAAAGUAAAUUUCACUUAUGUCCUGACUCCUUGGUAACCAAGAUGCAAAAGAAAUUUUAAUUUUACUUAUGUGCACUUACCAACCUAAUAAUCCAAAAAUAAAGAAACGAACACUUCCAAAAGAAGCAAAAAAGUAACUGUUAGGUACUUUAACACGUAGGAGAACUACACCCCAAAAGCUAGCUAUUGAGGUGAAAGAGUCAAGCCACUUAAGUACCACAUUGGUCAUCCCAUUCUAACCAAUGUGGGACAAAGGUAGCUCAUAUUACCUUGGUUCCUAAAAGUAACACUUCUAACAUAUAUAUUACUAUGUAGCGUACAAAUCUGAUUUUGCAUCAGAGAAUUAAAAUGUUUACUCUUCCUAGUUCAGCACAACAAAAGAAUAAUAACUUCACCCCUUGAUCAAAAAGCAGUCACAUGCACUUGCAAACUCUAUAAGCAUGUCAGAUGAUCACUGUUAUAUAGCCUGAAAUGAAUAAACGCUAUGCAGCACUGGAAAAUUAAACAAUAAUAACUACCACCACCAGCUUCCCUAAAACUAACAUUAACUGGAUCCAUCGUGCAAGAUUUUGAAACUUGUCAAACAAGAUAGAAAGUAUUGAAGUUACCCAUGCGACCAGGUAGAUGUGAGAGGUGGAAAGAUGCACCAGCAUCAGGGUGGAAACCAAUCAGGGUUUCAGGGGUAGCAAAAACCUGAAAUUAGAUACACAAAUGUACUUGACAAUCAAUGCGAAAGCUUUUGAAAUGAAAUCAUUAAGUGCUUAUUUACACAAUGAGAAACUAUUGUAUCCAUUGCCUGUUAACUUCAGUAAUCAAAUCUCGGUAAUGUGGAACAGAAAUAUUAAGAUCAUACAGAGACAGACAUAUUUCUAUCCUAAUAGGAUCAAAUAGCUUUAGAUUGCAUCGGUCACCAUUGUAUCUUGUAUAUACAUUCCGAAUAUGAUAUUCUGAUUCUCUCUCAAACCUAAGUGUUUUACAAGACCUAAGUGUUUUACAAGGAGCAACAAACCUUACACUAUUCCUUCAUCCACCUCAUGCAAAUCCAGCGGCCAGACUGUUUAUAACUACAGCAAGCUUGCCUGACCAAAACUUCAAUCUUGUGAUCUAUUAGAACAACUUCCAACCCCGACAAGGUUGCCACUUAUGGAUUACCAAAACAAUUGUCAAGCUCUGUUUCAUACAUGGCCUUGAUCUGAUGUGUAGGGGGAAGAAUCUGACUAAGCCAAUGAUCCAGCCUCCUACCCACCCCUGAAGCAUUUGUUUCCAAGAUAAACGGACUUGAAAACCCUGCCAGCCAAGCUUACUAAACUUGUCCCAUUCCAAUUAAAACUAUCUUUCUCAGACAACUGACUCACCAAUCAUCACAAAAUACCUAUCAACACAAUGCAACCAUUCAUUCAAGGGGAAACUCCAACUUUUGUAACCUCAAAUAAAAAAUUAUAGCCAAGGUGCAAUUCUUACGUGUCUCACAGUUGUUGGCACCUAUUUCAAUAAUAAUUGUCACCAGUAAGAUUUCUUGCACUACCUAUCCAUGUUCACCUCAUCCUUUUCCACAGCUGAAACCAUCUUUGUCAAUUUCCACAUUCCCUCCAACUCCAACUCCUUGCCCAGUGUCCUUUUUAAUAGAUUUGUUUAUCUCUCCCUAAUCUGCCCAACCUCUUCCUCAACUUCCUAUUCUUGACUUGCAUUUAAUUUAGUUUUCAUGUUUUUUGGACUGAUCCCAUUUCCUAAUUGUAACAGCUUUAAUACCAAGAUAACAGAAUUUGAUGUUACUAAGAACAAAAGGGUACAACUCAGAAAGAUCAAAGUGCUAACUAAACUUUGCUUAAUGAAAAACAUGCUCCCUGAGAGUCUAUCUUCGAUUUAUAAUCUCUCCAUCAUGACUUCUCUCACUCACCCCUAAACCCCAGGCUGACUAAUAAUAUACUCCCACUCUAUGUCUAAGUUCCCCCACCCAUUACAUGUUUCCUUUGGCAUACAUUUAUUAUUUCUGGCCUAUUAAAGAUUCAAUUUCAAAUUUGACAUUUUUGAAAAACAAGGAUACCAAGAAAGUUUAAAUUAAUGGGCAAACAGAAAGUGAUUCAUCACUUCCAUAAAACUACCACCUAGCAGAAAUGGCCAAGCGUAUUUAGUUACAUACGAAUACUAUUACCUCAUCUAAUAACCGAAAAUAAGGAAUCUUUGACUUUAAAACAAUAAUAUAAUAAUAAAUAAAAGCUUCAAAGAAGUUAGGAUGGUGGGGGAGGGAAUUAUGUGUGCCAGUGACUUACAGUUUUAUCAGUUGCAACUCGAAAAGUCCCAGGAAUUGAAAUUCCAGUUCCACCACCCAUGGUAAUGCCAUUUAGAAUUGCCACCUGCAUGAAGAUUAUCAACACAAUGUUGGAGAAGUUAAGUGUUUACAUGUAGUAAACUUGGAAGAACGCAUAAAAUCAGCUGAAACAAAUUCAAGUUAAUGAUUAAGGAGAGGAUUGUCACAUUUGUUGUGAUCUUUUCAAAGCCAAAAACAGUAUGUGUGUGUGUAUACACUACAUAUAGAUAGAAGUUACAUUGAUCAAGAUACACAAUAGCAAACACAUGAUGAUAUAGUCACUGCUAGACCUCCCGCAAAAAUUGAUGCUUAAAUUAAAGAAAUCAAGAGGAUGUUAUCAGCCCGAGCAUAGUGGUAAACCUUCCCUACACCCACCAAGGAAAAUCAAUCUAUAUACAUCUUCAUAAAUUUCCUAAAUGUACCUUCAAAAGUCAUUUUUACAUAAUAACUUUACAUACACAUCUUAAAUCAAAAGUAACUUUUAUACCAUAACUCUUCGUAGACAGCCUAAUUUUUUUUACGAAAAGUCCUUGUAGACAUUUCCAAUGUGCACGUGCACACAAAGGUAUAUAUAUCUAUUAGAUGCCACACAAACAAGGAUAAUUCAAGAAAAUUUUGUUCCUGAUAAGUAUAUUACACAAAACACCAUAAUUUUAUGCUCCCAGUAUUAAGAAAGCGCCAUAUUUUGAAGAGAAUGAAACAAACUGUUCAAGAUAAAAAGCCAAGAACUAGGAACUCACAUGAGGCUUCAGGUAUGUACCAACCAUAUAUAUAAAAGCAUACAAUGUACUGAAAAACUUUUUACAAUGUUCUAUCUCCCCUGCAAAAGUCACCAAACACAAGGAUGGCAAUUUUAAUCAAAACUGAUGGAUGAGUUAACCAUAAGAGAGCUGAUUCUAACUUUUAAUCUAGUACAAGAAACCGAAGUUAACAAGUAAGCCUUAAGAUCAUCCAAUACCUUUUCUCAAUAUAAAUACACACAAAUACAAACAUUCACUCAAACACACACACACACACACACGCAUGCAUACAUACAUACAUAUAUCAUUCGUUGCCUUCUUAAAUUAUCAAGCAAUAAAGAACAAAGACAUCCCAAAAAAGUAUUGUUUUCAAUAUAAAAGACGCGAGAAUAUAAAUAGGUACCACAAAAUUUAGAAGCUAUAAUGAAGUCCCAUGUUUGAGUCCAAGAAGCUCAAAUGGGUAUCCGGUUAAAAAAAAGAAUGAGAUCCAACUCAAGGAUGGUGACUCAAAGAGGCACUAUCAUCAUAAGGCAUUUUGACAAUUCCAUUUUGAAAAGAUAGAGAGAUCUCAUAAGCUUUAUAAGUUAUAUGGAAUACUACUCUCAUUGUCAUUUGGUUUUGAGAUAGAACCUCAUAUUUAUCCAACAGGUUAUAGGUGAAACGGUCUUCUGUAGAUUUCAGUUCAUAGACCUGCACCUAAAAAUGUCUAUAAACAUUAAAGACCCAAACAUCCAUCAAUAGACUCUUAUAGUUGAGUACAAAAAGGUACAAGACAAGAAACCAUUUAAUGUACUGAUCGUCAUAGAGGAUGAUAUCAAUAUUUUGUGCUUCAUCAUCAGAUUUACAGUUCUUUGGUCCUCAGCUUUCUCAGAAACAUAAAUUAUUAUAACACUUGGAAACAUCUUUUGUACAAAAUAGUUCAACUUUUGUUUUCUUACACGAGACCAUUGAUCUAGCGCAGGACAACAGUUUGGCCCUCCUUAGUGAUAUAUUCAACAAAGUGUUAAUAUAACAGAGCAUAUCAGACUCUUACCUUCAUUGAUCAUAUGAUAAAGCGAAACAAUAUCUCCACCAGCACAAAAAGCCCUGCCACUGCCCUUCGAUAAUCCAAAAAUUAAAAAUUAAAUAAAGAAGUGUGAGCUGCAAGUGAAAAUGUACGAUUACAUCCGAAUGAAAAAUCAUCCUAGAAAAAAACUCAACAGAUGCAGAACAAGAUUACAAGAACAAGAAAAAGAAAAUACCUUCAAGACAACAAAACCAACAUCAGGGUUUUCUUCCCAUGAAUUGUACAAUUCAUGCAGUCUGGCCCCCUAAGCACCAAGUACAUUUAAGAGUAAGAAAUUACCAUGAAAUGUAACCAUCUGAGUAAUUUUUCCAAAAUAAACUAACAGACUAUUAUAUAGAGCUAAGAAAAAUUCUGGUGAACAAUAGCUGAAACACACAUGAAGCUGAAAAAAGAUAAUGCACCAUAUUAGUAUUAAGAGCAUUGAGAAUUGAUGGUCUGUUAAGAAUGGCGGUUCUGGACCAAGCCCUGCCUUCAACAAGCACCUGCAAAAGAGACACAUUAACAAAUUAUCUAAACUAAGGUCAAGGAAAUAAUGUAAUUAGAAAACUGACUUCUUGUUCGUGAUCAUGGUCAGAGGAAUGGUCGAGAAGAGAGCAUUGGUUUCUGGUUUGAGUGAGGAGACGAAUAGUUUGAAGGCUUCGCCUAGUGAAUAACGCAACCUUCAAACUCUGAACCAUCUUCUUCUGACGAUUUACCUACCGGUGUGAAAAAUUAAAAGUUUAGAAAUGAUUGUGCAAGAAUAGGUUGGUUUGUGAUCUCUUCUGCGACUUGGAAUCGGUAAUUUGUAGAAGAAAAAGGAGGGAGAAAAAGUUUGUCCAGAAGAAUCUUGAGGUGGACAUAGACUGGUUGAUUGGAAGUUAGAGAAGAAUAUUGGCUAUUCAUUACCGGGCACCAUUGCAGUUAUACCUUCUACAGCUUCGUUGAGAAGAAGAGUGCUUAUCAAACAAUUGGGGCUAUUUUGCACAAUUUGAGGGGGGGAAAGCAUAAUAAUUACAAAAAAGGGGAAAAACUAUUAUUUUAUUUGUUUUAAUUUAACAAAUAUUGGCAUCCACUUUUGAUAAGCUCCACAUUUUUCCCCUACUCUUAAACAACACGUGCAACAAUUAUAGUUUUAAUUUUAUAUUUAUAUCUUUUUUAUAUUCACAGAUUGUAUUUUUGAAUUUGAUUUGUUUACACAAUUCAAAUUUCAUUUAUUAACAUCUUAAACAUAAUCAUCUAAUCUAUAUAUAUCUAAACAAAGUGGAAGAUAGAAAGAUUGUUAGUUGUGUAAUAACAUAUAACGUUAUGUAAUAUCAAUGAUGGAAUAUAGAAAAGUUACUCUAGUGUUUUAAUAACACAAAACAUUAACUAAUAUCGGUUAUGUAAUCAAAACUUUUUAUAAUAAAGAGAUGAAAAAGUUAAGUGUAACUUCUCUCUUUAAAUGUGAAAAUGGCCACAAAUAUUAAAUUUAUGCGAAUGAUAAAAUUGCCACUAAACCAAGACUAAAAAAAUUAUAAUGGAAGGGUAAAACAUCCACCAAAAUCAUAUUUAUUUUGAAAUUAUAAAUGUAAAAAUUAUAGUUUUUUUAAUGAUUUUGUAGGUAAAAAACUAAAGAAAAAACUUCAAUAUUUCUUUACACAUUUUAUUACCUUUGUUUAUACUUAAUAAAUUCCAACAAUAUUUACAUUGUUUUAACAAAAUCAAAGGAUAAGUUACUCAAUCAUUUCAUUAGUAAAAUAGCUUUAAUAAGAAAAUGAAUAAAAAAAAACAUAAGCAAGAUUCUCAUGAUUACAUUAAAAAAGAUUAUCAAUAUUAUAUGAUUUAAACAUAAAUAGCAUAGACAUACGUACAUGUCAACCAUGAAAUUGGUGAUUCAAGUUUUCUCAACUUAUGUUGUGUACUAAAAAGAAACCUAUAAUGAAGGAAUAAACACAAGCAUAUUUCUAUAUAAUUAUAUAUAUAUAUAUAAAUAGACAACAAAAUUUAAAAAAAAAAAAAGAGAGAAUAAAAAAGCAUGACUUUAUUUUUUUUCUUCCAUUUUGUUGGGAUUUGUGAACCUGAAUGAAAAAAAUAAUAAUAAGAUAUUUAUAACUAAGAUUUUAAAAGGAAGAAUUUGAAAGGUUGAAAGAUAUAGAGAAUGUGAAUAGUUGGGAGAUAGAAGAUUAAGAAAGAGAGAAAUGUGAAUGGAUCUCGAUAAAUUUAAAUGACAUAAUUAAUUGGAGUGAACAUUUUUUAAUUUUUGAGAAAAGUUAUAACAAGGAGAUGAAAAGUUCAAAAAAUCAUUCCACUAAAAUAAUCAUUAAAAGUAAUAAUGAAAAUGACACAAACAUUAAAUCUACGUGAAUGAUAAAAUUGUCACUAAAGCGAAACUAAAAAAUGUUAUAAUGAAAGGGUAAAAUGGGGCUAAAAAAUUUCUCCACUUCCAUCCGUUUAUAUAUACUAUAGAUAGAUGUAUUUUUUUGGGUCUAAAACAUAACGUUGUAUUUGGAACCUCGAGACUUUUUAAAUUCAUACCAAAUUUCAAAUGUAUGUUACAAGGAAAGAGAAUGAUUUUUAAAAUUCAAAAUAAUUUAUAAUUUUGUAUGGCAAGAAUGGUUAGAUUUCUUAAAAUUUGAAAGUACAUCAUUUACCUCGUAAUUUUUUAAUUUUCAAUUAACAUAUUCGUAGAUAAAAACCUACAUUAGUAAAUUCUUAACUUUCUUUUAUUUUUCAAUUACUACAAGAAAUAGUAGGCUUGGGUUAUGUUGAAAGUCCAAGGGUAAUUGUAUUUUGUUCUAAUUUUUAUUCUUUUAUUGAGGCUCGUGUUGCCUAUAAAUAUUUCUCUCUUUGUAUUUUUUUCUCCUUACACUAGGAUUUUCACAUAAAUAUUGUGUUCAUUCUUUAUUGUUACUUUCAAUCUGGUACCAGAACAAGGUGGCGAACCCUAAAAAGAACCUUGAUGGAACCCAAAUUGAACCUUGAUGGAACCCAAAUUGAGGAGCAACCAGUUGAGCAUUAGACCGUCGACGAGCCUACUACAAUUGUCAACGUCGCUAUCCAAGUCAUCGUGGAUAACAUCAUUGCCACCGUCGUGACAAAUUGCUCUAGAAACUUCAGAUCAGUUUAACCAGCAUGGUUUCCCAAUCACACUUGCCACUUGUCCAACCACAUCUAACCGCACAGGAACAACACAUGCCACCCGUUUCGUUGCACCUACCGUACAUACCACCGCUCACCCUACAGCCAAGCAUCCACUCAAAUCCUCUUGCACGAGUAAUUUCCUUGUACGUGCCACCUUCUAGUUUUUCCUGAUCAAUGCAUGUGUUGCUGCUCAAUCUUGACCAAGUUUGAUAUAGUCCACUAAUUCAGCAAUGAACCCUAAUUGUUGUCCUAAGGUUGAGAAUCCUCAAGCCCACUUAACUUUUAAGAUGGGUUAGUUGUCAACACAAUCAAAACCUCAUGUGUAGGGUUCACCUCCUAAUGUCGCUCAACGACAACUUAAUGUACUUCGAUUUGCAAAUCGCAGCGAUUGAGGUGACACUAGGGGCCUCUUCCAACAACCUGGACAUGGCCUACAUACGACCUCACCAAUGUAUUUUAAGAAUUCGGUAACCUCGUUCCCAACUUUGUUCUCUUCCUUUGUGUCAUCUAAUACAAUGACAUAAUCUACAAUAUAUUUUUUAGGGGAGAAGCUAAAUAGCCAAAACUAUUAUUUGUGGUCCCAAAUAUCAAAAUGAUUCUUGAAAAGCGCCACAAGUUUGGCUUUCUGACAGGUGAGAUACCUAGUCCUCCACCAGGAGACCCACAAGAACAGUACUGAAAAGGGGAAGAUUCUCUUAUUUGGUUCACAUUGAUCAACAUUAUGGAACCCAAAUUGGCAAGCCCUUAUUGUAUCUUACAACUGCUAAGGAUAUUUUAUGAGACCCGUGCCUCGAAAAGAAAGGAAUUAAGAAGUGUUCUCGGGUCAUUUUGAGCCUGUGGCUGACCAAGAUGAAGGACAAAAGGGUUUAAUUUAAAGUUGAAUCUCGAACAGUCAAGUGGAAUCUCAGGUAAGAUUUAGGACAGAAGGGUAAUCCUAAGGUAAUCUUGCUUGCUAGACCGGGAUUUAAAGGAAAAAGAGAGUUAUAGUGAGUUCUUGGGGAAAUCUCAGUGCUUAUUUGACCAAGAUUAGAAGAAGAGAAAUGAAAUUAAGGAGAUCUUAGGCAUUCUCGGGCAGGAAUCCAACAAAGAUUGAAGGAUCUUGGGGUAAACUCGAGGUUGUGUUAGUCGUGACUAGUUCAAAAAAUGUUUAAAUGGUGAUCUUGGACUAUUCCUAACUGGGAUCACUAAGAAAUUAAUUGUUAGAUGAGUUGGAUUCCAUGUGUCAUGACAUGAAAAUAUUUAGAAUUUUGGGAAGCAUGAGCUGGCGAGUUACUAAGAGUUCAAGAAAUGGCUAAUCUAUUUUGAGAUUAGUAUUAAUAUGAGGUAAAGAUAUAAGAAAAAGGUUGUUAUAUGAGAUAUUAUUGAAAGAAAGGGUUAAGUGUUGUGCUUCGGAGAAAAUAUGCAAGUUUUGGAGCUUUCCAACGAGAAGAGUGUUUGGGCAAGCUUUUUUAGCAAAAAGGGAAACCUAAUUAAGUACAAUAAGUGAUUUUUCCAAAAUUAAGAUUGAUUAAGCUUCCUUCCACCGUUUCUAGUGUCAUGUGACUUAUGUGUUUCAUGUUUACAUUUAUGGAAGCAUGUUUUACGUUGUUAAGGAUUUACAGAAAGCGUGAUGUUGUGUUGAACACAUUUACGUUGAACUUUGGUUUCUAUAAAGCAUGGUUUAUAAAAAAGAUUUAAUGUUAUGUUUUAAUGAAAGUUCAUGUUUAUUGAUUGUAUUGUAUGCUAUGAUUGAGAGUCAACCAUUAGUCACAUUUUUAUCGAUGAGCUAGCGCACAUAAUAAGUAAAUGCAACCAUGUAGAAAAGUCUUUGCAUGUCAGAAUGAAUCUGGUUAAUGCCUAAAAGAUGUGUAUCGUGCUUAACGGUCUAAGUAACUAAAACGAAUCAUAAAAUUUCUCAUAUGUUGUUGGUGAACAGGGCAUCACAGUAGUCUAAACGCAAGAUGUCGAGUCGUAGCGUAGAGAAUGGUUCAUGUUCCUGGCGAAAGGAAUAAGGAAAGACUAAUGUGUGUUUUAUGUUUUAUUGAAAUAAUGACGUUGAGCCUGUAUUUGUGAAACGAAAUGACUAUUGAUAUGAAUUUUAUUCCCAAAAUGAUUUUUAAAAUCUAUCACUCACUGAGUCAUCGACUUACGUUUUAUGUUUUUUCUUUCCCAGGUUGUAAAGAAUUGAGGCCGAGGUUGGGUUAAAGAAGGCAAGCAAACUAGGUUGUGAAGGCAUUAUGAUUUCCUGUGUUUAAAUUACACGCUUUGAUCAUAAAUUUAAAGGCACAACAAUUCAUUAGCAUUACGAAAUGCAUGUAAACAACAACAAAAACGUAACUGAGUAAAUCCUACUUUUCAAAUUAUCAAUGAUUCAUCAUGAUUCCUCUCACAUAAAUGUGAUCAAUAGUUUUUUAAUUAUUCAACUUUAGUUAUAUUAUAAAUUUUAAAAUAAAUAAAUUAUUAAGUUUGUUUAAAAGAUAAAAGGUUGACACAUAUAUUGAGUCUAUUUAUUUUUAAUUCGACUAAUAAACUAUCAAUAAUCUUUACCAUGCAUUAUAUUUUAAAUCAUGCAACUUUUUAUGUAAAGGUACUAUCAAUAAUUUACUUUUUUUCUUAUGUAAUUUGAUAAGAUUAGCAAUCACCUUUUAUUACAAAAUUUAUAUCUAAUGUAUUAUUAUUAUAUUAUUAAUUAUUAAAAUGGAAUAAAUAUGUGAAACUUGAGGAUAAAUGAUUAAGUUAAACAAUUAUAAAUACGAAUCUAUAUAAAUAACAAAUAUAAUAAAUAACAUUUAGAAUUUUAAGUACAUCUUUGUUAUUUGUAACCACACCUUUACUACUUAUAACUUUUUUUUUCCCCAAAUUUUGUAGGAUAGUGCGAUGGAAAAUUGACUUUAUAUUUAGUAAAUGAAUAAUAGUUAAGACACGUAGGAGAACUUGAAACUAUCUUAAAAACAAAAUACUAUUUUCUACCUAGGAUACCUAAGAUAUUAAACAAUAAAAUACGAUUAUACUUUUAUGAAAAAAAUCAAUAAAUAUAAUUAUAUACGACAAACAAAGCAAACUUUUUAAAAUAUAACAAAGCUGACAAAAUAUUUACACUAUACUGAACAAUUUAAAAAACGAAAAAAGUUCAAAGGCCCACAAUGAAAAAUACCAAAAAUUGUUGUGAUUAAUUGACAUUCGUAAUAUAUUUGAGAAAUGAUUGUUUAAAUUUGGAUAUUCUAAAUGAUUUUUUAAAUAUUUUUUUGGUACAUGUUUGAUGAUUAAUUUGGGUAGCCAAAUCUAGACGGAUUUAUAUAUAUGUAUAUAUAUAUAAUAUAUAUAUAUAUAUAUAUAUAUAAUUUAAAAUCUACAACCAUCUCAAACUACACUUUAAUUAUAUUCUAGACUGUAGUUUUACUUUAGGGAUCUUUUCAAAAAUUAAUAAAACGUCAAAAUAUUUAUACCAUCCUAUAUAACAAUUUCGAAAACGAAAAAAAGUUCACAGGUCCACAAUAAAAAAUAUAAAAACUGUCUUGUGAUUAAUGGACAUCCAACACGUAAUAUAUUUGAAAAACAAUCAUUUAGAUUUGGUUCUUCUUUCUUAUAAGAUCGUUUAAAUUUGACUACUAAAAUCUAAAUGAUUCUUUGUACACGAUUAUUUAGAUUUGACAAAUGAUCGUUUAAAUUUGGUACCCAAAUUUGAAUGAAUUUUUUCAAGAUUAUUUGUCACACGAUCAUUUAGAUUUGAUAGUUUAAAUUUGGAUAGUCAAAUCUCAACGUUUUUUUUUUCAAAAUUUUUUGUUUACUAUCAUUUAGAUUUGGUAUACGAUCGUUUAUAUUUGGCUAUUUUUUUAUCGGUGAUCGUUUACAAUCCAAUAUCCCAAUGAUUUUUUCACGAUCUUUUAUAUUUGACACACAAUUUUAACAACCAAAUAAAAAUUUGAAAUAGAAUAAAUAAAAAAUUGUAAAGAAAAGAAAAUUAUAGAAGAAAAAAUAUGGAAAUGAAGGACAACUAGAAAUGUUUUUAAAAAAAUGCAGAAAAAGAAAAAAUGACGAUGAAAAAAAUUGGAGAAGAAAAGAAAAGCACAACGAAAAAAAGAGAAAAGCAAGAUGGAAAGAAAAAAAUUGUAGAAAAAAAAAAUUAUACCAAAGAAGAGAAGAAAGACGAUAAUAAAGAAUGACAAACCUGAAAUGUUUAAAAGAAUAAUAAAUUUCAUGAACAUUUUCAAUUUGUCAAGCAACCGGAAGUUUAUCAAAUUUAUGAAAAAUUUCCCCUACUUUAGUUAUGAACUUCAAAACUUGUUCCAAAACAAUUAAUUAAUUUUUUUUUGCUAAAGUAAAUUAUGAAAAUUAACAUGGCAUUUGAGGUCUAAUAAUUAGAUGGUAUGGUUAUCACUUAUUUUUAUUACAAAGCACAUCCUUAAACGCAAUUACAUAGCCCAUAUUUACACAUUAUCUAUCCACGUGGGAAACAAAACAAUUUAAGUAAAUAAUGUCAUAAAUGACAUCCCGUACCCUUUUCGAUUUCACAUAUUAGUUUUUGUAUUCAUCUCCAUUUUACUCUCAAAUCAUAUUCUUUAAAUACAUUUCAGCCCUCAAAAUGGUAAAAAUGAAACUUUCCAAAUGGUUGGAUAGUAAUUGUAACAUAUUCUAAAUUUCAUGAAUAUUUUGCAUAAUUUAGCCAAACUUUUAUAUAUACAAAUUCAUCUUGUUGGCUUUUAAUUCAAUUUAACUUUAAAUUAAAAUUUCAACUUUCCAACAUUCACCAUCGUGGGUCAAUUGUCAACCAAUUUUUUUUAUGCUUUGUUAAAGCUUAGAAUUAACACAUGUACUCUAAUGAUAUGAAAGAAGAAUAUUGUGAAUUGUCAAAACUUUAAGCUUUAUUAAAGGUUAAGAAUGCAUUUGGGGAGGGAAAAAGUUACGGGAGAAAAUGAUUAUCAUAAUCCUAUAUUAUGAUAAUACAUUAUAUUAUGAUAAUAUAUGUAUGUGGGAAGGUUUAUUAUUGGUAGUGUUAUGAUAAUAUGUGUUCGGGAGAAAGAUUAUGAAUGAUAGUGUUAUGAUAGUAUGUGUUUAAAAAAAGAAACAUAAUAGGUAGUGUUAUGAAAAUUAUUAUUAUUAUUAAGGUAGGGUUGGAAAAGGGUUAUGAUAACCCUUCCUCCAAACAAGAAAAGAGUUAUAAAAGUUAACACGUGCAUUCUAAGUCCUAAUAACAUGAAAGGGUGAAAAAUCCAACAUUCUAACCUUUUAGGAUAGUCCACUUAUGUGAAUUCGAGAAUAAUUUAAUGGGUCAAAUAUCGACAUUCUUCAACCAAAAACACAGUGGAAAUCAUAUAUAUAAAUUUUAUACAAUACAUAAAUAAUUGGACAAUAAACUAAAUUAUAUGGAUUCUCCUACUUUACAUUAGAGGUUGAAAGCAAAUAAGUUAAUGAACGAAUAAUAACAAAUAAUAAAAAGAAUGGAAAAAGGGAAAAUCUUGCAACAUCUAGAUCUACUGUAGUGGACAAUAUCACAAAAAUUAUCUUAAAUUUAUGCUAUAAAACUCUAUUAAAAUCUAACACAAACUAUUUGAUUCUCGACAUUAGAACCAUUUUGUAGUAGAAGUAAUUUAACAAAAUCAUUAAACUUAAAUUUAAUUUAGAUUUAAAAAAAAAGUAGUAAAUUAAGAAAAUUACAAAAAUUAAAUUACUCUAACCUAAAACCAAAGCAUGCUUUCAAAAAAUAAUUAGAUAAAAAAAAUAGACAUACAGAGAAAUUGAGACUUACUCUUGUUUUCAACUUUGUAUUUACUAAAAGUAAAAAAUGGGAUCAUCACCGCUUGGAAACCUCCUUAUACUCUUACUAAUAAUAGUUUUGGUACGUGGGAACCAAAAAGAAGAUUUUUGGGGAAAGAGAGAAUUUUUUUCACUAAGAGUUUACGUACAACACUUUUAGUUUGAUAGAGGAGCUGUCAUACAUACUUACGUACCCUCCUUCCUCUUCUUCAAGGAACAUGGAGAGAUCUUGAGAUACGUGGAAAAACAUCGUGUUCUCUCAAAUAGCUCCCUUAAGUAAGGGAGUUCUUAAUUUAAUUUUAAUGAAUUAAUUGAUUAAAUUAAAUUAAAUAAGUAAUUAAAUAAAAUUAUAUUUUGAUUAAUAUUUUAUUUAAAUCAUAUUUAAACGAACAUCUCUAACAUACUUUUAAUGUAAUUAAUUUAAUUAUAUAAAAUAAAAUAAAUUAAUUGCUAAACAUAAAUAUGAAUGAUAUUCAUAUAUAAAUAUCUCUCGUAAACUAUAAUUUUAAUAUGAAUGUAAUCCAUAUUAAAAUAAUAUUUGAAUUCAUUCAAAUGUUUUAUUCUUUUAUAAAUUAAUUUUGAAUCAUAUCCAAAAAUUAAAUUUAUAUUAUAAAGUUUAAUUUAAAAUAUUGUAAUGUGUCUCCAGCGGAGUCGCCAUGCUGUCGCCACAUGCCCGAGACGACGCGGAGCGGCCGACGUCCUCAAAAGAGCUAGUUUUAAAAUAAAAUAGGAGUCACCACCAAUCUUUUUUACGGUGUAAUUGGACACUGAAAUAAAAUAAACAAUUUAAAAAAAAUGGUCUGCGAAAAAUAGAAUUGAGUUCGGGAGUCAUUUGUGUGUGGGGAAGGUAUUAGCACCCCACAACACCCAUUUAGAAAAACGGUGGCCAAAUUUAAAAUCUUGAAUUUGAAAAUAUUUUUAAGUUUAUUUUAAAACUAAUGUUUUAUUUCAUCCCCCGUUGCUCCAACAUUUGAAGCAAUGAUCUCAUAAAAUAAGUGGAAUUAUAUUCCAUUAAUUAGACUAUAUAUUGAAGGAAAGUUUCUCACCUUAAGAAAAUGAGAAAUUAUUACAAUUUCUCAAAAUCUAUCAUAGGCUACUCUUUGAAUAAAUAUUUUUUAAAAAACAUUGAUUAAAUUCAUUUUUUCUUGGGAUCAAGUUUCGGACUUCCAAAGAUAUUGAACCCUCACCUCAAGAAUCUAGAAAUAACAGACUUCCAAGAAGUUCUAGAUUCCAUCGUAGGAUUUUUUUAAGGAAAACGGUAUAAGUUUUUAGAAAAGAUUGGUUUAGGAAAUCUUAUGAAAUCAUAUGUUAAAUUUUGAAGGUUUUGAAAAAAAAACAUAAAACAUUUAUAGCAUUAGAGACAAAUUUGCUAAAUGAUUUUUUCUUUUUUUAAAAAAAGUCUUUUAUUUAAAACAUAAAGAAUUUUAAAUUGGAAGGAUUGCAAAACAUUAAAAAAUUUAAAUACAAAGAGUUGCAUUUAAGUGCAUAUAACAAUAAUUAUGAUAUAGCAAUGUGAAUGGUAAAAGAAAGAAAACAUAAUAGCAAUAAAAAAAUAAGGAAAGAAACGAAAAAAAAAGAAUAAACAAAGAAAGAAAUAAUAAUAAGAAGAAUAAGUAGAGGAAGAAAAACAAGUAAAAAGAAAAAGAACCCUAAUAGUAAUAUAAUAUAAUAAUAAAUGGUGACGAUAAUAAUAAUAAUGAUAAAAAAAUUUCUACGUUCUUUAUCUUUAUAUUUUAGAGAAAAGAAAAUAAUGAUUCAGAGUUGAGAUUAAAAAGGGUAAUAAAAUACGGAUACAUAAAAAAAGCACAUUUGUUUUAUGUCAUUUUCUUUCUCCCUAUUUUCUUAGAGAGAAGAAAAAGACUAAAGAUUUUUUUAAAAAACAUGAUGAUAAAAGAAAACAAAAGUAGUACAAAUAUACUAAAAUGUUCCUACAUUUUCUUUCCGUUCUCUUUAUCUUGUAACAAGAGAAGAAAAGAAAAAUAAGAAUUCAAAUCCCAUAGAAAUUACUUGUUGUAUGAGGUGCGGAUCAUUGAGAUUAAAUCCCUACCAAAUGCAAUCUCCAACUAAGUUUAGUUAGCAAUGAGGUUUAAUUUGCUUAAGAUAAAAUUUUAAAAAAAUAUAGAGACAAUAGGGUAAUGAAAAGAAUAAUAGAAACGCGAGUUUUUUUUUUUUUUUUUUUUUUUUUGCAGAAAUUCACUCUAAAACUUUCUCUAAACACUAUUUUAAAAAAUUUCUCUAAGAAACUUUCUCCAAAGAAUUUUUGUAAGAAAUUCUCCUCUAAAGAAUUCUUUGUUUAAGAAACUCUUCAUUCUUUUUUCAAAUGACAAUGGUCCCUAUUUAUAGACCUCGAGUGUACCACAAAUUAGGAAAAAAUAAUAAGAAUAAAAUCAAAUUUUAAUAUUAUAUUAAUAAAACAAAUUUUCAUUUUCCUAAAAUAAAUUAAAUGAGAUAUUUUGAAAUUUUGUGAAAAAUAAAUUAAUACAUCAAAUGAAUAUUAAAAUACUUGUAAUUAAAAUUGAUUUUCUUUUUUCCUAAAAUGAUUUAAGUAAGUCUUGAUAUUAGAAGAUUUUAUUUAAAACAAAUUCAUUUCUUUUUUCCUAAAAUAGUACAAAUAUAAUAUUAAAAGAUUUUUAAAAAACAAAUUAAUUUAUUUUUGUUUCCUAAAAUGAUAAAAAUGAAAUAUUAUAAGAUAUUAUAUUAUUAUUAAUUUUUUUACCUUUUUUAAAAGUAAGUAAAUAAAUAAUUUAGCAAUUAUUAUUAAUAUUAGUAUUAAAAAAAAGAUAUAUAUGUGUAGGAUAAAAAUAGGUGGCUACACAUACAUUAUAUUAAUUCUUAAAGUAAAUGUGAACAUUUCAAAUUACAAUCAAUAUAGAUAUAUAGAUUAACCUUAUAACCUUUUACGAGCUAAGAAGAUGACCUAAUAGACCUACAGAUCAGAAGCUACAAUGUCUCAUACUUCAUGUGUGAUCUGGUAUGGGAUGCCUUUUGCUUGGUGUGUGACGUGACAUUGGAAGACGCAUUAUGCUUAGUGAAAUUGAUGAAACUUGUUAAAUGCGUUAAGUUUACUCCGCAUAGCUGCAACUUGACAAAAGAGUGUGAUAAUCGCUUGAGUUGAGGAGAGAGGUACAAAGAUGUAAUUAAACAUGCAGACUGGUUCUUUGGACAUCUCAAUGAAAACAAAAUUUGGACUAGUAGAGUUCCUUUGAUUUUUUUAUUUUUUUUUGUAGCAGAGUGGCACUUGCCCAAUCGUGUGAUGUGUGUCAGUUUGGUUGGGUUCAACAAAUCAGUCAAUAACGUGGAUUAGCUUGUUGGCUCCUCAAAUAGAAUUAUGGAAAAUAGGCCCAAUUCUGUUAUUCAUGGAAACCAAAUCGUAGGAGGUGCAUAUGUCAACUUGGUUUGCUAACAUUAGUAGAAAAUAUAUUACACAAUUAGGAGCAUCAUAAUGUGCUAUGGUAAGAGUUGUUCUUAUAUUUAUGAUUACUUGGUAUAUGAAAUCCUUUUUUUUUUUUUUUCUAAAGUGGUAUUCCAAAAUCUAAGUGAAAGUCACAAAAUGAACUUAGAAGCAAUGUCACUUCUAUACUAACCCAAACAUCUAGACAAAGAAAUUUCAGCUUAACAUAAUGAUCAUCAUGUUUAAUAAAAAGAUGACCAUGUUCAUGAUUCCAACGUCUUAGAUGAUCAUGUCGUUCAACAUGAAACUCCACAUCCACAAUACACACUUAGUUCAUGCAAUCUUUGAUGACGUUUACUCCGUACACAACAUUUCCUUCAUUUGACAACCCAAGAAUAAACAUUAUAGAUAGAGGUCAAUUAUCCCAUAAUUUAUAUGAGCUUGAUGAUCAAUAUGUGACCUAUAAAUCCCAUAAUGAGGGUAUUGAUGAAGGUCAAACAUCCACUAUCUAGGGUCAUGGUAAUGUUGUUGUUCUAGGCAUGAUCAAAGUUGUCUACUUCCAUUAGUGAAUGAAAUCCUUUGGCUUGUAACGUUAAGUUGACUGAACUCGUUUUAAAAGAAUAGUUUGAGUAUGAAAACUUAAUUCAUACGACAUAGAGUCGAAGAGGUUUUAUGAUUUUUUAGAAUAAGUAUAAUAUAGAUUUUAAAAAAAAGUAAUCUAUAGUAUAUAUAAAAGCAUGAAUGUGUAGAAAUUUUUUCCCCAUUAUACCCUUAAGUUUAAUUUUGUGUUUCAAUUUCCUUUUUGGUUUGAUGGUAAUUUCAUUUUUUAUUUUUUAUUUUUGUAAUAUAAUUAAUUAUGAAAUAUUAAUGGUUUUUAAUUACAUUUUAGAAAUUAAUUAAAAAUUAAAUAUCUUUUCAUUUUUUGUUUUUUUAUAAUCUAAUUAGUUAUGGAAGACUAAUGGUUUUUCAUUUACAUUUCUUCAACUUUCAUUACUAUAUAAAGGGCUUUCUUGAUUUCUUUCUACCAACAUUAUUGAGUAUUUUAUUCUAUUAGUUUGUUUUUCUUUCCUUCUCAAUUUUUUCUCCAAAAGUUCAAUAUUUAGCAUAUGAAGAUGGAAAUUCAUUUGAAGAAGAUCGAGCAUAUAAAGAGAGGGUAAAGAGGCAAAGAUGCAGUAAGAUUAUGGAGGGUUGAAGAUGGAUUGAGAAGGAAGACGAGAGGGAAGAUGAGUUAUGAUAAACCUAACACAAGGGUUAUGAUAACCCUUCCCCAAACAAGGGUUGAGUUACCAUAACCCUAACCCAAUAGUGAUAAUCCUUAUCCCAAACGGCCCCUUAAAUUUAAGAAAAGAAAGGGAAAUGGGCCCAUUAAUAAAGUGAGGAAACGACGUCGCUAAGUUAGGCGCUUUUUUAUAUUUUGUUGUAUUUAUUUAUGUGAAGCGGAAAUCGGAUGCCCUGAAACUUACAAAUCUGAAGCAACGCCGUCUGUUUCUCCAUCGAAUAUUUCAAUUUCAUCUUCUGAGCCCUAAUUUCUGCUUUCUCUGCCGCCGAUUCACUCUCUCUUCAGAGGUCUCUUUCUCCUUCUUCCAAGCAUUCACAUUCACACAAUUUCUUCACUUCUUUUACCGAUCUAUUCCCGCUUCACCACUUUGAGCUAUAUUUUUCCCAUUUCUUAACCUGUACUUUCGUAUGUCAUAUGGGUUUCAUGUUAUGCUUCGCUUUAUAUGUUCGAUUUCAGUUUAAAAGAAACGAUCUCCAAUCAAUUCUGCUGCCUUGAGAACUUCUCAUUACAUGUUGCAAUGCUUUUCAAUGGUUAACUUUUCUUUUUUGUUUGCACAGCUCCAGCGAGAUUCUUAGACAGCGGGCCUUUGUCUUUAGUUGCUGUACUAAUGAGGGGCAGGAGUUAUACUCCAUCGCCGCCAAGGGGUUAUGGAAGAAGGGGUCGGAGCCCCAGCCCUAGGGGGCGCUAUGUGGGACGUGGAAGAGACCUUCCCACCAGCCUUCUAGUUCGUAAUCUUAGCCAUGACUGCAGGUUUGUUCUUAAUCAGUUUGUUCUAUAGUUAUGCUUAUGUUUCUUUUUGCUCUUAAAGAUUUUUCCGUUUGGUGUGACCAAUUUUCUUGCCAUAGAAAGUCUGUAGGAGAAAAAGGGGUCUUUGUGUAACAAAGGUGCAUGAAUAGGGGAAUAAAGAAUCACAUAGUCCAAGGCAGUUAGAAAGGGCUCUCCCUCAAACCAUUGGGAUUUUACAAUCAUAAUGAAAUGUCCUAUUCCAAGAGCUAUUAAAGAAACAAAAUGCAAUGGGUCGAAGAACUAUUGAUAGUCCCUUUCAUCAUGUAGUCUUCUAUUUCUUUAUAACCUACAAAGUAUGUUAAGGCCGCUCCCUUCACUUGGGGCAGGGCACUCACCCCUCACUAGUUCUUUGUUGGGCUCUGUGUCGGGAUUAUUGCACCUGCUUUCACCGUUUUGUUGUCUCCUUCGGGAAGACAUUGUUUUUUCUUUCAAGAAUCUUGUGAAACAGCUUCUAAGUUCUUAACUUUUUAAUUUAAAUUACUUUCCAUAAUUGUGUUUGAUUUUUAUUUGAAAUUUCUGUUCUGGACAUUUGCAAUCUUGGAUUUUCAUAAGCUCAUGCUUAAGCCCUGGAGAUUUGUUGCAAUGAUAGUCAGCAUGCCCGACAGUGUAAAAAUGCUGUAGGACCCUAAUAUGUAGUCCGUAUUCCAUCACAUUACUCUGCCUUUUAUUUUGUAAUAUCAAUUCAGUGGUUUUUCAUUCAAUUUUCUUAUCCAUUGCGGUCCAUCAGUGAUUCAGUUUUGACCUGCAUCCAGGAAAUGAGAGAAGACCUUUGGUGUCUGAAUAUGAGAAUUUAAACCGGUUGCAUUCUUGCAACAUCUUGUUCUGAGUUGCAAGUUUCUUUGAGUUUCUGUAUAGUUUGUGAUUUGUAAUAGAUCUAUGUCACUGACUGUGUUCUGGUACUAAUUCUUUUUAACUGCCUACUGUUUUCUUAAAACACAUGUACUGACUACUGCACACUUCUGUUCUUCCUAGUUUACUGAUGUCAAUAUAUUGAGUGCUGUUUAUAAUCGAUUUAGAGUUAGAAUAUGAUGAUUCCUGGUCUUCUACUAAUUUGAAUUUAUUUUUUGUCACAGGCCUGAGGAUCUUCGUAGACCAUUUGGACAGUUUGGUGCUAUUAAGGACAUAUACCUACCGAAGGAUUAUUAUACUGGGUGAGCAUGUCUGAGCUGUAUGUAGGACUUGCGGAUUCUUUGGUACUGAUGUUCAUUUUAAUUAGCAAAAUGGCAAAUUUAUAAUUUGUGGUUAUAUGGCUUUUGAUUAAUUCUGUAAAAUUUAUACCACAUUUUAGUUUUAGUAUCUGAUAAAUGUUUAAUAUAUAUUAUAUUUCUUUGCUGUUUUCUCAAAUUGGUUUAGAAUUAAUGGUAUUAGUGAAAGCACAUUUUCAUUAACUUUCUUGCUUCUUUUGAUCAAAAUGUUUUUGGCACAAUCCUUGGUAGAAGUCAUUGCUGAAGUUUCUGAAGUAGACCCAUAGUGUUUCAUCUUUCAAAUUAUGCAUCUGAUUAUAGGGGCGUUUCUUUCUGUUUCUUCUAUUCUUUUUUUGUUUUUCCUUAUCACGUAUUAGGUCUGUUUUUUGAAUGUUGAAGAUUUUAACAGUGAAAGUAAUGUUUUGAAGAAGACAUCAAGUAAUUAGAGUUCUAUUGAAGAUGAUGUUAAUGGUAGUGAAGAUUGGAAGGAAGUUGGGUUUGAAUACAUAGAAGAUGUUCUCAAGUCUUGAAGAAUUUCAAGUCAUCUUAAAUCUGACACAUGCAAGGUCAGCAGCCAAGUGCUUGCUUUAUUAUAACAGACCUUCCAUAUAUUGCAAGGGAUAUGGUGGACAGUUUUAUUAGAGAAGGUUUACGGCAGGCCAAAUACCUGACCUGAUUCUGUGGCUUUACUUACUUCUAUUUUACAACAUUUUCCCUUUUGCUUCUUUUGUGCAACAAUUUUGCAGAGAACCACGCGGUUUUGGUUUUGUUCAAUAUGUAGAUCCUGCUGAUGCUGCAGAUGCUAAACACCAUAUGGACGGCUGUGUUCUUCUCGGUCGGGAGUUGACUGUGGUAUUUGCUGAAGAAAACAGGAAGAAACCAUCUGAUAUGAGGGCCAGAGAAAGAGGAAGGUAUGAAGCUUCCUUGUAUCAUUUAUGAGAUACUUUAUAGACAUGGAUGCUUGUAAUUAACUGUCAAAUAAUCUGGUGCAUUUGCAUAAGCCAAUGUUUUCCGAUCGGGUGUGCGUCUUUAGUUAUUCUGCUUUCUUAUUUUAUUAUUCAUAUGCGAGAAAACUAAGAUAGAAUUAGUAGGGCGCGGGGAAGAGUACGAAGUCUCACCUCUAACUCUUAUCCUUUUAGUUCUAGAUUGGGAGACCGGUAUGUAAUGAAAGAGAUCAACUUACCGAAACCGUUAAGCAUAUCUUUUCUUCUCUUAAAUCAAGGUGCAAAGAUCUAUGGCCCACGUAGCGGGAUAUUGUAGGCGAAACUUAGAGGAGAGGAUAGGCGUAAUUGAGGAGACUAAGAAAAGACAUUUAUACCGCCCCGUGGGUUCAUUCCCCCCUUCAGUCUACCCUUUUCAACGAAAAAAGAUGGCAUUGAUUCAAUGAACAAAGGCGAGGGCCCCUCUCUGAUAAGGAAGGAAAGGAAAGAAGAAGAAUUUGACGAUCAAUCUGGUCCGAUGGCUGUUCUCCACUAACCACAAGGAUAUAGGGACUCUCUAUUUCAUCUUCGGUGCCAUUGCUGGAGUGAUGGGCACAUGCUGAGAAUUUUGCCUGUCUUCGCCUCCAACCCAAAGUAGGGUAGAAGGUAAGGGCUUGGCCCGCCUGAAUAGAAUGAAUAUCUCCUUCGUCCUGUGGCUGCUGAAGCAGUAGCAGUCAGUCGCUGCGUAACAUAAAUAAAGAGGAAAAAGCAGUUGAACUGGAAAGGGUAGGAGGAGAUAAUACGCUUUAUGAAUAUGAGAAGAAUAUUGCGGAGAAGAAUCUUGCGAGAAUGUUCACUCUUUUAUUAAGGAGAAGGACGACUUCUUAAUGGAACUGAUUGUAGUAGGCGUCAGACUCUCAAGAAGUAAAGAGUUCUUGAUAGUUGAUAGGCUUUCUCGUUUUAAGUAGGUUUAGGAGGAAACUUCAGCAUUACUAGUAAGCCUCAUAAUAUAGAAGAUGAAAGUCGCGGCAUAAUAAUAGAAUAUGAUCUUCUUGUUCUCCAACACUUCUCACGGUAAAAAAAACUCUUACUGCUUGGAAAAGCACUUUUAAUAUAUAUAUAAUAUAUAUUCUUUUUUGGAUAUUUUGUAAUAUUUGGAAAGUGCUUUUAUUAGGCUGAAAAGCACUAUCCAAUAGUUGGUUUACAGUUCACAAGUGUUUGUGCUAGCACAUUCGCCGACAAAAAGACGGUCGCUUGAUUGAAGCAAGGCACAGUUAGUAAAAUAAUAAAUAAUAAUAAUAUAAAUAAAAAAAAACAUAAGAUUAGAAAGGAAUUAACUCAAAUAAUCUUGAGCAAAAACAUAUUUGAAAUAUAGAAAUAAAAAUGAUUUUGUUUCUCCUUUGAGUCUUUUUCUUCUUCAAUUUUCCUUCAUUUCUUUGGUUUUCUUUAAUUCUACCUUCACAAACUUUGAUUUUUCAUUUUAGGCCUAUUGGAUAAGAAUGUUUUUUUUUCCUAAAAAAAAGUGACCAAUUGAAUAAGGAGAGCGCAAAAGGCAAGUGCCUUACUGAAGGUGCUCAACUUGGGUACUUGCAAGGCAUUAAGGCCUUGCCUCGCCUCACCUCUCCUCUCGCCUCAGGCAAGUGCCUGGCCGCGCCUUAACAACACUGCAGUUCACAUUGAAGUUCAGUAUUGUAUAUGAAAUUAAUAUUUUAGUCAUACAAACAGUGGGCGAUAUCAUGAUCGAAGAAGAUCCCCUCCACGUUCGCCUCGAUAUUCACGUUCCCCAGCUCAACGACGUGGGAGGUAUUCUCGUUCACCAGCACCACGCCAUGCAAGGUCUAGGUCCCGUAGCUAUGAUUAUGCAUCCCAACCACCAAAACAAAGGGCUUACUCAAGGUAUUUUUAAAAUCUAUUGCUGUUUGAUAUCUAGUUCUUAUUAUGUUUCUGAACCCUUGUUUGAGCCUCAAAUUUUUUCUGUAUCUCAAUGCAGAUCACUUUCCCCUCGUGACAGACCAGACAGUCGAGAGAGGUCUUUCCCACGACAGGAGAGCCGUGGAAGGUCAUACUCCCGAUCUCCACGUCUCGAUGGUUCAAGGAGUAGGAGUCAAAGUCCAACACAACCUGGAAGUCGAAGUCCAAGCCCUGUAAGAGGACGAAGUCUAAGUAGGAGCAGGAGUAGGAGCAAAAGUGUUGGCCGGAGCCGGAGCCGAAGCCGUAGUCCCCGACGUAGCCCAAGACAUGAAGAAGAGUAUAGAAGUGAACCGAAUGGUGAUAGGAGCCCAAGUCAAUAGGCAAACAGUUUGAAACUUGGGAAGAACUACAAUGUACUAUUGCCAUUGUUUAGUUUGAUGUUUUCGUUAUAGACAUCAUUUCCUUAGUAUUGUUGGCUAGCGUUUGUUGUUCUUGGGAUUUUGUGCUUGAUCAAAAAUUGAUUGCCGAGUACUUUCAUUUUAAUGCUGUCUCUGGUGGUGCGAUUGACACUUCCCUAUAUAUUUUUUGAGCUCGUUUUUGAUAUAGUUUGCUUUUGUAUGCCACAUAUGUUACAACAUCGGGCCGGAGAUUUAAACUUCUGACCUCUAGAUAAAACAGACAGUUGUAGUUUCUCAAGUUUCAAGUGAUAUCUGAGUGGUUGGUCCUACUUCUAAUGUCUAUUGUGGCUAUUAUACCUAACUUAUAUGUCUGUGUUGUUUGGAAAAAUGCGUAGUUUCUUUUUUCUUUAAAAUUAGAAUUAGUACAUAUUUCUUCAUUCAAUUGAUUCAUUUUUCUUCUUCUUCACUAUUUUCUUCUCUCUAACAUCACGGUUCGCCUUUUGGAUGAUCUUUCUUGUUUGCUGUUUGUCAUAUGCCAUUGUUUGUUGGAAGAUCCAGUUACAGAUAUCCAAAGAACCCACCGAAUUGGGCUACACGGAGAUCUGCCUCGAAAGGAUUGGAAAGUCCUCGAAUACAUGGUGAAUAGAGGAGGGAGUUGAGAAAUUUUAAUCUAUAAUAUAAAAUAAAAAUUCUACUUCCUUUCUACUGUAGUUCCACAUUUGUCUCCUCCCACCUCUGUCUAUCAUCUCUGUACAUACAGUAGAAGGAAUUUCUUUUCUUUUUUUUUUUUACAUUUUCUGAAUUAAUUUCAAUGAAAGAGUAAAACACUUGGAGUUGGAGAACAACUUUGCGUUUAUGAAAUGAAUUGAAAAACAUUUUAUAUGAGGGAAGGAGAAGGCAAAAAUGCAAAGGGAGAGGUGUCCAAAUGUCUAAUCUUUGGGAUUCAAUAUGUUCUCUUAUUUAUAUUUUAUUACGCAUUCAUCGUACUGAUUUUAUUACAGUCAGUUCUCCAUUUUUCUUUAACCACACUUCACUUCCACUUUGAAAUCUUUUGAACAUUACCACAUUACUAUUCUCUAUUUAUUCAUACUGAAAUUUUAUCUUCACUUCAAAUUAGCAAAUCUCACUUUAUUUUCAAAAGCAUUUCACACAACCAACCAACAAUAAUUGAAGAAACAAUAGAAAUUUUCCAAUACUUAUAUAUAUAUUUAUAUAUUUUAAAUAAUAAGAAUUUAUCGUUUUAAUAUUUUUUCUAAAAUUCCUUGUGUAUGGUUGUUUUUAGUAGAAAAUUGUGAUAAUAUUUUACUGAAAUGGAAUUGUAUUAUAUUGGAAAUAGAAAAAUUAAGGAAUUGUUUUAAAAAAUAAUUAAGAGUGGGAAAAAUUUCUCCUUUUGAGGGAUGGAGGCAAGGACGGGGAGGGAGAAGACUGUAGUCCACUGGUGGACAUUUCUAGAUCGUAAAAGAUUGUUGAAUUAUUAUUUCUAGUUGAGAAAUUUUGCAUUUUAGAUUUAAGGUUUUGCUUCCUUUGUCAAGUGAACACUCUCUUAUUUUUCCUUCCCCUUCCCUGCCUUAUUUUUAGAAUGAAAGUUUAAACUUCCUUCACGAGUUCCUUUUUUAAAAACCUAUUCAUGUGUUCUCAAAAGCAGGAACAUUGAAAUAGGGAUGAAAUUCUAAGAUCAAAAGAAAUUCAAUUUGAAAUAGAAGAUAAUUAAAAAUUUUCAAGUGUUGUGAGUGUUUUGUUUGAAAAUAUAUAAUAUUAAAAGUUUUCCUCAGUAGUUCUUUGAUGUUCGAGAUAAUGAUUUCAAUUCAAAUGAUUUCUAAAAGAGAUUUAUAUGAAAAGCUUAUGCGUAUUUCAAAGUAUGUUUAUUGAGGUCUUGAAAGUUUAUGAAUGGUGUUCAAACUUUUAGUUACGUCUUUUAACGAACUAACUGUUAUAUGCACAUAAGGAGUAAAGGUCACCAUGGGGUGAAAGGGACUACAUGGUGAAUUUAGGCAGGACAAUGUAUAAAAAAUGUGCAUUGUCUCUCGUCGUGAGCAACAAAAACGAAUCUGUAUAUUCUCGGAUGCUAUAUUAACAAUAGUCUAAAUGCAAAGUAUUGAGAAGUGUAGAGAAUGAUUGGGGAUCCUUGGCAAAAUGAAUGUUUAGUAACUAAUGUGUGUUUAUGUGAGAUGAAGCAUUUAUGCGAAAUGAUAUGUUUAUAUGAAUUGAUAUAUUUCUAUCUUAUGUUGAUGAAGCAAAGGUAUUACGAAAAAGAUUUCUUAAAACUUCACUGAGUCUGUUAGACUUACGUUUUUUUAAAAUUCCAUCUUCCAAAAAUCAGGCGUUAAGGCCAAGUAAGAAGGAUUGAAGGGUUUCCCAAGCGAAAAGGCUGUCAAGACAUUUUAGCUUAAGUUUUAAAGGUUGUUUUUAUAUUUAUGAUUGUAAAGUUUAUUGUAAAAAGCUUAGCUAAAAGUUAAUAAAGGAAUUGUUUGUUAAGUAUAUCGCCUAAUUAAAGAAUUGUUUAAGUUUCAAGUUAAAAUAAGGAAAAACUACUAGGCGAUUAAGUUAAGCUUAAGGAUCUCAAGAUUGAGUGUCUUUGGUGUUAACACGUCAGAGCUACUUAAGUCACGUCGUGUCUCACAUGGCAAGCAAGGAGGUAUGCAGGAUGGGGUGUGACAUUUUUGGUAUUUUUCAUUGUCGGUUUUUUUCGUAUUUAAAAUUAUUGUAUACAAUGUAAAUAUUUUGCCAGUUUGUUAUAUUUUUAAAAAACCCCAUAAUAUUAAACUAAACUAAUAAUUAAUUGAGGAAUUUUGAAAAAUAGUAGAUUUUACAAAAUAAUUACAAUCUAUAGCAAAUUCUAUCAUCAAUAGUCAUUGAUAUGCUACAAUGGUAGAAGACUAUGAGUGAUAGAAUCCAAAAUUUUGCUAUAGCUUGUAAAUAUUUUAAUUUAUUUUGUUAUUUGUAAAAUUGACCCUAAUUUAUUCUCCAAUUAAUUAAUUGCUAAGUUAAAUAUCUUACAUUUAAUUUAAUCCAAAUUUGAAUCAUAUUCAAAUAUAAAUUCCUCUCAUAACCUAUAACCUAUCAUUUUUAAUGUGUAUUAUAUAGACAUUAAGUUUUAACAUAUAGUUUUAAUAUGAAUCUUAUUUACAUUGAUUAAUAUUUGAACCAAUUCAAACAUUUUAUUCUCUAAUAAAUUAAUUUAGAAUCAUAUCCAAAAUUAAAUUUAUAUAAUGAAGUUUAUUUAAAAUAUAGACUUUAUUUUGUAAUGUAUCACUAUAUAUUAUAUUAAUUCCCAAGGUAAAUUUGAACAUUUCAAAUUACAACCAAUAUAAAUAAAUUUCAUUAUCUUUUACGAGAUAGGAAGUGGACCUGAUGGACUUACAAAUCAGAAGCUAUAACGAUAUGAGAUUAAUUGAUUAAACUCAUUAAUCACGUCAAUAUUCGUUAACUAUGUGUACACUCUACUAAAAACUCAUAAUUAAACUUUUUUCACUGUAGAUAUAUUUCUGGGUCUACGGAUAUAAAGCAAUAACAAUAAGUUAGUCAUUCACAAGUGUUCGUAAAACCAACUGGGUCAAAUUACCGUUUACCCGCGGGUUACUUCUAAUCCUCAAGUAUCAGUGCUUCUCUAAUGAACAACUUGUUUAUAGUCCAACCAAUAAAUAGAAACCUCUUUCGUGCCAUAGAGUGGGUAAAACCCUUUGUUUAAGUCCCAGAGACACCAUUUAAGAAAACACUUAUCUACUUAUCCUAAAAAGUCAAGAAUGAGUGAAUUUUAUCUUGUGUGAUUAUGUCUCCAUCUCCCCACUCGAUCUUGUCCCCAAAAUGAUAACCAAAUUGAGUUGAUAAUCUGACCACUCUCACUUGUAGAAAUCAAAGGAAAAUUCCUCGUGAACAUGAGUUCAUAAUACACACUCAAAAUUAAGACUAAGUUACCUAGGUCAUCCUAAUUAAAUAGGAGCCUAACUAGUAAAUGGAGUUAUAUUUAAUGAAUACUAUUUUGUAGUUCAGUCUUAUGCAAACUUAUUGCAUAGAACACCCUUACUCGCAUGUCACCUAUAUGAAUGUGUUGGAUCAUUGCGUUUUUAUCAAAUACAAAGUGAGUCGUAUCCAUAGUGUUACUAGGAUAAAGUACACAAUCUUAUCCCUAUAUUAUAGACAUUUUAAACUAUCUCUCGAAUAUUGAUCCCUAGGUUAUUAAGAAAAAAUAAAUAAUAUAAUCAAUAAUACUCAUUAAAAUUGUAAUAAUAAUACUUUAUUAAUAACUGAUCAACAAAUUACAUUUACUAUCUAUGAGUUUUAGAGUUUUAGGACAUAAAAUCCAAUCAGUAUAUAAUCGCUUAGAAAAAUAUUGCUCGCACGUGCAUGUGGUCGAUUAAUCACGUGUAGACUAGAGUGUUUUUGGCAUUUUUUAAUUUCCAUUAUGAGCCUAUAUUGAGUUUUUUUUUUUUUUUUUCAUUUCUGAAUUGUUCUAUAUAAUGUAAAUACUUUACUAGUUUAUUAUAUUUUUUAAAAAACUCUUCUUUUUAUAUGAUAUGUUAUAUUAAGAUAUAUUUUUGUAUAUUAUUUAGGUUCAUAAAUAUAACAAUUUUUGUAUGAUAUGUUAUAUUAAGAUUUGUGUAACAAAAUAUUAACGAUUUGUGUAACAAAAUUAAAAAACCAAUGAAGUCGACCAUUUUCUUUAAAUAUUUCAGGUUUGUCUUUGCUCCUUUUGAAUUUCUGAUUUCUUCAUUCUUCCACUUUUCUUCUGCAAUUUUUCAUUUUCUUUCAUUUUGCAUUAAUUUUUUUAAAGUCUUAUUUGGUUCAUGAUCGUGUACCAAAUAUAGCAAAAUCUAAACGAUCGUGUACCACGUACGAAAAAAAUCUACCAAAUAUAAAUCUUUUUAUAUUUUGGUACAUCAUUGUUUAAAAGAAAAAUUACGUGCACGUGUGACCAAGGUUGAAUGAGAGCAUUUUUGGUAUUUUUCAUUAUAGGUCUAUAAACUCUUUUUUUCGUUUUCAAAAAUUUUCUAUAUAGUGUAAAUAUUUUGUCUAUUUAUUAUAUUUAUGAAAAAACACCUAUUAUUUAAUUAGAAUUGAAAUUAGUAAGGAUAAACUUAAUUAAUUGUAAAUAUAAUUAAGUAUUAUAUUAUAAUUAACAUUAAGUUGCUUACAUAUAUGAAUGAGUUAAUUUUAGUUAUGAAUUCCUUAAAAAAUUAAUUAGUUAAAGAUUAUUAUUGAUUCCAAAUUAAUUAAAAAAAUUAUGGUUAUAUUUUAAAUGAAUGAAUCUACAAAUUUAUAUACUUAGUUUCAUAAAUAAAUUUUUUAUCCAGAAAAUUGAAAUAGUAUUUUGAAUGUAGAGGGAAACAAUGUUAAAGCAAAGAAAGUGUGGAUUUAUAUAAGUAUUGAACCCAUGAAAAGUAAAAUGAAUGCAUAAUAAUUGGAUGAAGGAUUUAUAUGUAUUUUUCCCAUAUCACUUUGAUUUCUCCCAACGAAAGAAAAUAUAAAUAAGGAAGGGGAUAGAUAGUCGGUUACAGCUAAGCGGGUGGGGGCACGUGAAGCAUUUUCUCACAUGUGUGAAUUGGGGUCCACCUUCUCGUCCACGAAUAUUUCUUGGAUUCUUAUGUUUGUAGGGCCCUUUUUCUUUCUUUCUUCCUUCCUUCCUUCUUCUUCCUCUCAUUCUUUCAAAUAAUUCUACAAUAACUAUGCUACCAAUUAUCCAAUUCAAGAACCCACACUCAUCAACUAAACAUAAUUUUCAUCUUUUUCUCCUCUUUUUGGAUAUUCCCUUUUACAUUCCUCUACUUCAAUUAACCCUUUUUCCAAUUAUUGUUUAUUAUAUAUAUCAAAUCCUAUCAUUCCAUUUUAAACUAUACUCAACUGUACUUCUAUUAAUCAAAUUCCAAUACUAGAUUUCAUCUUCACAUUUUUACUACUUUUUUUUUUUUUUUUUAAAUAAGAAAACCAUUUUUAGUCCAAAUAAGAGGAGAUUGUGUAUUUCAUUCAUGGUUUAAUUUAAUUGAGAAUAAUAAAUAUAAACAAAAACUCAAUUUUUUUAAAAAACAUUCCACCAAAGUUUUGAAAAUUGAUUGAGGUGACAUAAAUAAAAAAUAAGUAAGAUAGUUGGGACAAUUUUCCAUUAUUCAAAUUUCCCAAAUAUUUUCUGACGAAACUUCAAAACCUUGUCCAUAAAAUUCAAUGGUCGAAAUCCUCACCUCCACUUUCAACUCAAAAAAAAAAAAAAAAGUUCAAACAAUGACGAACCAUGUGGAAAAAAGAUUCAUAGACUAUAAACGAAAGGACAAAGGAAAUUUCUUUCAAACUGAAAGAUCAAAGCUCGAACCAGAAAAAGUCACGUUGGGCAUUAAUAGCUAUUCUUCACAGAAAUCAGCUUCCAUUUGAUAGCAUUAGCAUUAUUAUUAUUCCCUCACGGCGCUACUAUUCCGUAGCUUCUUUUUCCCAAUCGAAUCUCCUCAAAAUGACUUUUGGGUUAAAAUUAAAGAAAAACGAACAAUUUUCCAGUCCCCACUCGCUCACUCUUGACUCUUCUCUUGCUCAAAUUUAUUAUCUUUUUUCCCUGUUCAAACCCCAUCAAACCAAAAUGAACGGCGAUGAUCAUCACCCCCUUCUGCACGAGAAUCCAUGCUCUCUUUGUUGUCUCAAAAAGAGAAAAAAAAAAGGCAAACAAAUAAAGUUUCAAACUCUGUGGGGUAUGACAUUUCUUUGCAUUUCCUAUCUGUUUUUACACCUUCUUUUCUAUGUCACAACCUUUAUUUCUGUUUACUAUACGUUGGGAUAUUGUGGGCUUCUUUUGUUUUGGACUUAAUUUUUAAUUUCUUACUAUUUGGGGAGUUUGGUUUUUUGCUUCUUCUGUCUUUUUCUUGAGUUUUCUGAGGCUUUUUUACUGCCCAUUUCUGUCUCUUCUUCCCUCUCUCAACUUCCAUUAAUCUUUGUGCGUUUAGGGUUUUGGUUCUGUUUUGAAGCUGACUGAAGAUUCUUGGAAUUGCAGUGGGUUACUGUCAGAUUGUUCAGAUCAGGUACUUGCCCACUUCUUGUUUUUUUGCUUUCCCAGCUGGGUUCUUUGUUGUUUCGUAGUUUAUGGCUUAAUUUUUGGUGUUCAAGAUUUCUCUACUUUGGGUUUCCAGUAGUGUCAUAGCAAUGUUGAAGUAGAAUAAGAAAUGGGUUCCUGUUUUUGAUAUUCUGUUGAAGCUAAGCUACAGUUUGUUUGAAGUUCUCCAAUCUUUCUCUUAGAUGGGGAUUGAAAGAUAGUGUCUCAUUUGUAAGCUAAGCUACACUGGGUGUGUGUUUUGGUCAAUGUUUGAUCUGCAUGUUUAUGAUGACUCUAUUGCAUCUAUCUUCUGUUUGAGGAUCUGCUGAGAGAGCUAUAUUUGUAAUGUUUUUGGGUUUUGGUUUUCUUUUUUCUUCCCUUGAACUCUCAACAUUUCAAAACCAGAGAUGGGAGCAUUUCCAUUUCAUUUCUCUUGAAGUUCAACACAAAAAUGGGUUUGAUGUUUGCUAAUUAGGAAGUAAUUUGUCAUCUUGCAAUCUUAUCCUUACAUUCGUCUUUAAUUGAAUCAUGUUUUCUAUCACUCUACUAUAAUUGCAUUUUUCUCUUCACGCAUUCAAUUACUUUUACGUGUUUCUGUUCAACUGUUCUGUUGUGGGUUCUUACUUAUCUUUUCCUUUUCCCAUGAAUCGUUGCAGAUUGUCUGUAAUUGCUUCUUUGAGUUUUGGGAGUUUGAUUCUUGCAACGUAGAGGAAAUAGCUGGAAUCUAAAAUUUUACCAAUCUGAGAAGUUGAAGUUUUGGUUGAUUGGAAAAUGCGAGAAAGGUGGCGCGGAAUUGUGAUCUUGCUUCUAUUUGGGAUGUGUAUCAAUGCGUUAGGUAACUUAGAUAUCAAACUUUUUUUUUUUUCGAACAUCCUUCAUAGUUUUUGUUUUAAAUUUGGAUUGCUUGGAAUAUUCUGAAAAUGGUCACGAGCUUUGUUUCCAUGAUCUCAAUGGUGGUUGUCAGUAUAAGCAGCAGAAGCAUUGGCUUUAUAAAUGUUAAUCACACGGCCUCUUCAAUCCUUUUUUGAAACCAACCUCCAUUAGUUUUUUCCUGAUGAAGAAUGAAUUGUUUAAAUAUAGCAAACUAUCUAUUUGUUACUGAGCUUUGUUCUUGACAUUAAUAGGUGCGUUUGUGGGGGUUAACCUUGGGACCGGUGUCUCCAAUCUUCCAUCAGCUUCCGAUAUAGUUGCAAUUCUUAAAUCCCAUCAAAUCACUCACCUCCGCCUUUACAAUGCUGAUUUUCAGCUGCUAAAGGCCCUAACAAACAGUAGCAUUGAAGUAAUUGUUGGUGUGACCAAUGAGGAAGUUCUCAGGAUUGGUGAAUCUCCGGCAGCUGCUGCAGCUUGGGUUAAUAAAAAUGUUGCGGCUCACUUGCCAGGAACAAAUAUUACAGCUAUUGCUGUUGGCAGUGAGGUUCUAACAACAAUUCCUCACGUUGGUCCAGUCUUAGUUCCAGCCAUGUAUUCACUACACAAAGCCUUGGUUGCUGCUAAUCUAAACUAUCUGAUCAAGGUUUCCACUCCCCAAUCAAUGGACAUAAUACCUCGGGCUUUCCCUCCGUCCACUGCUUCCUUUGACGCUUCAUGGAACUCUACGAUCUAUCAGCUCCUCCAGUUUUUAAAGAACACAAAGUCCUUCUACAUGUUGAAUGCCUAUCCUUAUUAUGGCUACACUAGUGGGAAUGGAAGUUUUCCACUUGAUUAUGCACUUUUCCGAUCACUUCCCACAAUUAAGCAGAUUGUUGACCCAAACACUCUUUUCCAUUAUAAUAGUAUGUUUGAUGCUUUGGUUGAUGCGACCUACUACUCAAUCGAGGCUUUCAACUUUUCUGGGAUUCCCGUUGUAGUUACUGAGACUGGCUGGCCAUCGUUUGGUGGAGCAAAUGAACCUGAUGCUACAAUUCAAAAUGCUGGCACCUACAUUAGCAAUCUGAUCAGGAGAGUUUCAAAUGAUUCAGGUCCACCUAGUCAGCCAACUAUUCCAAUCAACACAUACAUUUAUGAGUUGUUUAAUGAAGACAAGAGGCCAGGCCCGAUCUCGGAAAAAAAUUGGGGUAUACUUUUCCCCAAUGGAUCUGCUGUUUAUCCUUUGAGUUCAAUGUCUGGCCGUGCAACAGCAAAUUCUUCUGUAGUUUAUUGUGUGGCUAAAGAUGGUGCAGAUGAAGAUAAGUUGCAAGACGGCUUGAACUGGGCUUGUGGACAAGGAGGGGCAAACUGUGCAGCAAUUCAGCAAGGGAGGCCAUGCUUUCUCCCGAAUAACAUUACUGACCAUGCUUCUUAUGCAUAUAAUGAUUACUAUCAGAAAAUGCGUGGUGCUGGUGGAACGUGCGACUUCGAUAGCACAGCUAUGCUCACGACGGUUGAUCCUAGUAAGUUGUUUUAACAAUUUUUCUCUUUGUUCCUCAUAUUUAGUUAGCAGAUGUAGUUGUCCUACUUCAUAAAAUUUAGACGAGUUUUUGAAUUCAAACAUCUUUUGAAUUAAAAAUGUAUUUUAAAUAUAGAAUUUUACCUAUUAAUCGUUUAAAAUUCUGCAAAAGGAUGCUCAUGCACAUUCCUAUUACUAACCCACUUUUUCUUUAACAUUAAAGAAAUAACUUUUGUUCGUUUUUUCUCAAUCAAAGUAGUUGUUUCUAUGAAAAAAAAGGAACAAGAACUUAGAAUCAUUUGUGUGGUAAAGAUAUAAGACAUUUUUCCUUGAUAAAACAAAACUUACUGCACUAAAGUAUUUUUUGUUCUUACAUGGUCAUUACUAAUUACUUUAGAAAUCUUUGUUUAAUCAUAGUUUGUUUUCCUCCUCCUUUGAAACAGAAACAAAGCUUGCUUUUGACCGUUUUAGAAAUUAGACCAUAACGAGUGAGACUGACUUUAAAUGACCAAUCAAUAUCCGAAUAACAUUUUCUUUAUCCUCACAAAUGCCUACUGAAUAUUAAAAAUGGAGACAACUGUCCCUAACGGCUACUUGAAAAUCUGCAAUAAAUGCUGAAGAUCUUCCCCAUUCUUCAUACAAAGAGGACAAAUAGGGUGCAGUAAACUAUGAGAUGGAAGCUUUCUUUGAAGAGUGAAUGAACAAUUAAAGUUUCCAAAUAUCAUUAUCCAAAUGAGGAUAUUAACUUGCCCAGGGGUCUUACAUUUUCACAGAGCUUUAAAAACGAAUUUAUCCAAAGGAAUAGAAACCACCAAAUGCUUGGAAAGAGAUUUUACUGUAAAAAGUCUCAAAGACUCCAAUACUUCAAAUACCGAAUACGAUGAUGAGGUUGAUCAAUCUCUUCUUUUAGCUAACAGACUCAGCAUAAUCUGAAAAUUAAUAAUCUCUUAUUCUUUUAACCUUGGCGGAAAGAGAGAGACCAAGAUAAAGUACCUCCAUCCCAAAGAUCAGUUGCAACAUAAUUCUAAUAUAAUUUUGGGAACCUUAUUUUAAAGGCAUUUGUUCAUUGGGCUCGAUUCCAAGGUGCUUUAUAUUAUAAAGAUCUAUAAUUCCAUUAAGCACACACCAAGUGGAUUUUAGUUUCUCCGCUACAUUACCGUAGUUCUCUGAGUCAGGGUCUGCAAUGUUUUCAGCAGAUCAUUUUAUCCAUAAGCUAAACUCUGUUAUAUUUCUCCUUAUUCCUUUUCUAGCUUUCUGUUUAUCCUUUUCUUUUGGUAUUAAGAAUCUGAUAUCUUUGCUCGAUUUGAUUUAUUCAACCUGUAUUCACGGAUAUGUCACUUGAAUAUAUCGUACAUAAGUUUCAUACACCCUUCUGUUUUGCCAUUUGAAAAGAAGUGUCUGACACGUGUACGCGCCUGCCAUCCUCAACUAGUCAAGUUCGAUUCUCCCAUACAUUAUAUAAGUAGCAGUUUUUUUCUAAUAUUCUUAAUAUCGUUUGUAAUGCUGUUUGAACGACACCAUUUGUUACUGACUAUUUGGGUUUGUAUGGGAUUCAACUUUAACAAAAACUUUUAUCUUUUAAUCUCUCAUUUUCUUUCCCCUACGUUUUGCAGGUCAUGGGUCUUGCAUAUUCACGGGAAGGUAAGUGGAAUCAGUCUGUUUAUGCAUAACUAAAUUACAAAAAAGAAAAUACCUACAAACUCUGCCCUUUCACAUAUGUUCCAAAACGUUGAGAGUAAAAAUUUGUCAACAUGUUGGAUGAAAAUUUGGACUUAGAAUUUUGUGCAUUGGCCUAGAAAGGAGGAAAUUAAGACCCCAUGCUGUUCCAAGUCAUUGCCACCCCUUAUACAUGUCUCAAUUUUCAUCCAAAAUUUUAAUGGAUUUCUACUCCAAUGAGAGUUUUCAUAAGAUUUAUGAAAAGUCUUAGGCCAUUGCCGAAAGAAUGAAACAAAGGGCAAAGUCGAGGAUUUUUCUUCUUCUUUUUUAAUUAACUUAUUUAUACAUCAAUAAUUGAGUUGUAAACUGAUUCAAAAUAUUGAAAAACAGUUCAAAUUCAAGUGGUGGAGGUGGAUUUUCUCCUCCAGCAUCGGGGCCUUCAGGUCUGCUUCCUGGUGCAAGUUCAAAGUUGCAGAUAUCUUCAUUUCAGCUCUUCAUUUUGGUAAUUUUUUCUUGGGCUUUGAUGUUUAUUUUUACAUGAAAAGUAGAUUGUUCUUCAACUUCAAUAGCCAAUACCAUUCUUCAGAUUCCUAAUUUAUUGAGCACAAAUGAAGAGAGCAUGAUCUCUUCAACACCACCUGGUUUAAAAUGUUCAUCACAUGUAGGUGUUUUGUUUAUUAUUGUUCAUUGUAGUUUGUAACUUACUCUUCUGAGCUGGUAGUAACUGGGUUUAGUUUAUGAUUAAUUUAUAUUAUUUUUGGAAUUAAUACUUUCCAUUUUUGGUUAUGGAGGGAAAGUCUAUGGAAAAACCAAUCCAUGAUCUUUGUUUACCAUCUAGAAUUUUGGAAUUGAUAUGUCAUAUUUGUUAAGACUUUAGUUUAUUUAGAUCAACUUUAUGUUUAUUCAAAUGAUUAAAAAGUUUUUAAGUUUUUGGCUUCUCAUGGCUUAACAUGGACUCUCUGAGGUCAUUGGUCACAUGCUCAAGCUCUAUGGUAUUGAGUUUAUCCAUUUUUUUACCAUGUGGAGUGAUAAAAUGGAAGUUGUGACAUUAAGGUAGAUCAUAAAAACUUUGUGCUAAUCGAGUUGUUCUCAUGCAAUGUCCGCUCUACAGAAUAAGCAAAAACUUGAACUUAAAAGAAUUUCCAAUCUCAGUGGGUCAAAAAUUUGAUUUUAUUAGCUACUAAUAAAGUACCUAUUCACCACUGAUUAAGAUUUUAAUGAUUCAAAACUAAUUAACUAAUCUUCAUUUAGUAACUUGACAUUGAUCCCCUAACAAUAGGUUGUACUGAUCUUAUCACUAACGAUCAUCAAGUUAUACGAUCCAUCAUGUCCUAAGAUAUCCAUGGGACCUCCAAGGGACCUUCAUGUGUAGUGUAAGAAAAUGGUACUUCACCAAAUUUAUGUCAUUAUACUUUAUGAUCAUGAACACAUAAGCGAAAGGGUGCUGUCAAAGAAAGUUCAAUAACAUGACAAAAUCAACAAGAAAUUAAAAAAAAACAAUGGCUUUCUGGAGACCUUUUAGCUAUUUGAUCAAUUCAAUAUUUAGUUGAAAACAAAGAACCUAACACGAUGAGUUCUAAUGAUAUUAAACUAAUCAAUAUCCUCAAAACAAGAGGUACCACAAUUAUGCUCUAAACUCUGUCAAAAAUGAUUUUCAAACGUUAUGGUUCUCUUUAGGUAAAUAUUAAAAUUGUAAAUGUUGUACGUUAAGUUCUCUGUAGUCUUGAGGUCAAGACAAAAGUAAAACACAUUGAGAAAAUCUAAAAUCAAGUAAAAAAGAACGACCAAACCCACUGAAGAAAUUACAAGACACCAUCAGGAAUCCUCAAAAUCGAAGCCUGGAGCCACCUUGAACAACAAACCAACCACUUGGUGAGAUGAUAAAAUAGACAUUAGAUGCAUAGUUAAAUCAAAGAACGUAAAACUUUUGCCAUCAAAUUAGAUAGUUGGAUGUUCAAAUGUAAGGAAAAUGAUUGAAACACUACAGAUUACAAUAGGUUGCGUAUAAUAUAGAACUUUCAUAAACCACCCAAAGGGUUUGAAUGCUCUAAAAGAGAAUAAAAUGAUCACAAAAGUAGAAGCAAGAAAGAAUGAAAUAAGAUUUGAAAUGUAUCGAAGUUGUUAAUUACCACUUCCUAAAUUUCUUCCAUGGUGGGGAGUGUUGAAUAAGAAAAUUUAGUCCCAUUACAAGUGAUAAAAUAACACAUUAAAUUUAUGAUCGAUUACAAAAUUUAAGAAAAUAAAAUCGAAAUAUUACAGAAGCAGAAUUCUAUGAUAAAAACACCAAAAGAAAAUUGGAGUGUAUGGCCAAAAAUCCACAACAUACUGAAAAAUAACAAAACUAAAGAACUUUUGAUGUUUAGCCAAAAUGAAGUCAAUUUCAUUCAUCUUUCAUUAUUCAUUUUUAAUUAAUGCAGAACUCUUCAAUUUUAAAAUUUAAAAACAAUUUUAGAGAAAAACAAAGCAUUUAGCGAGAGUUUUUAAAACACUUCUAAAUUUUAUUUUAAAUAGUUUAUAUAUAUAAAAAAAUUAAAUAAACAAGUAUACCUUAUGUGAAAACAAACUCUAAAUCAUUCUCAAUUUUACUGAUUGGUUUAUCUGAUUUACGUUGUUUUCACAUAUAGAAGGUAAGUUGGAUUGUGUUGAACAACAAAUUUUAGUCAAUUAAAUCCCGUCACUUUAUCAUAACAAAAAUAGUGAUAAAUAUAUUUUGAUUAGGUUUGGUUAAUUAAGUUUUCUUAUAUCGAACCUAGUUUAAGGUACAUAUAGAAAAUUUAGGUCAAUGAAGGUAAUAGGCACCCGCCCAAACCCAAUAAGCAAAUGAGUCCAAGCCCAAGUUUAUAAAAUAAAUAGGCCCAAGCCUAAGUCUAAACCCACCUAAAGCCCGUGAAAAUUUUCUAUAAAUAGAAACCCUACCAUUUAUUUGAGGAUCUUUGGUUGAAGGAAAGAAUUAAAACUCUAAAGAAUGGAAGAUUCGAACUUCUAAAAGAUCUCAAGGUGAAAUUUCUUAUCAACCUCGAGAUUACCUUCCUCAGAAAGAUUGAAGGUUGAUUACCUUCCUCAUAAAGAUUGAAGGCUUGGAAGAUUAAACUUUUCUUGAAUUUUAUAAGAUUGAAACUUAAAUUAAUUUGCAACCACAACUUCCUGAAAAUCGAGGAACAAGUAGUUCUAGAUUUCUAUUUAUAUUAAAGAGAAAACAUCAAAUGAAUAAAUAUUUGAGGUUGUAUUCACUAAUUAUAAAUCAAUAUACAAAGUUCAAAUUCCAUGAAUUACAUUUAUCCGAAAAUCUCGUGUGAACAGUUUGGCACGCCCAGUGGAACGAGUCUCUAUCUUUCAUCUCUUUCUCUUUUUGCAAAGAAUAUCUUAAGAAAUCAUGACAUCCAAAGCUCUAAACGACAUUAACAAGAGGCCAAAUAUACUCACAGCCGCUCAAAGGAGUAUAAAUCAUUUGAGGACAUGUAGUUGCAAAAAACAUUUGGGAACAACUGACAAAGCUACUAAAAGGUGGAAUCAUAAUCAAGGAAAAUAUUGUAAUAGACAAAACUCAUUUUGUCCUUGAAACACUCAAGUGAGAAGAUGCCACAUCCAAAUAUAAUGUCAAUUAUGGUGGCUGACGUGGAUACAAGUGAAGAUAGAAUGGUAGAGCUCGAAAAUAAUGUUAACAUGCUUAUGAAGGCAAUUGAAGAAAUGGAUUAUGAGAUUGCAUCUCUAAAAAAUCACAUAGAGAGUUGUGACGCUGCUGGAUCAGGCCAUACACAUACCAUCAUGAAUAAUGAUAGAGGGAAAACAGUUUUGGAAGAAAGUCAACCAUAAAAUUCAAGCUAAAUUGCAUUAUCACUGUUUGUUCAACAAUUGUAGAAGAUGAUUACAGACUCCAUCAAAACUCAAUAUGGCGGACCUACUCAAACUUUUCAUUUGUAUUCUAAAACCAUAUACAAAGAUGAUUGACAAUCUAAGAAUGUUAAAUAGAUGCCAGCCACCCAAGUUCUAACAAUUUGAUUAAAAGGACCACCUAAAACCACAUGUUGCUCACUUCAUCGAAACAUGUGAAACUAUUGAUAAGCAAGCAGAUUUGUUGAUCGAACAGUUCGUUCGAACUCUCAAAGGAAACACAUUCGACUGGUACAUCGACCUUGAACCUGAAAUCAUUAAUAGUCGAGAACAACUUGAGGAGGACUUUCUCACUCGCUUCUACAACACUCAGUGUAUUGUUAGCAUGAUAAAAGUAAUUGCCACCAAGCAGCGAAAAGACGAGUCAGUCAAUGACUAUAUUAAUCGCUAGAGAGCAUUAAGCCUUGAUUGCAAAGAUUAACACUAAAGUUGAUAAAGUUUACUGAUGGACAAUUCAAAAUGGUUAACUCUAAAAUUAACACAAAACAUAUCGUUUUUCUAGCUAUUCCUUUUCAUGGAUUUAAGCUCUUUAGGAAACGAACUACACGUUUUCCAAAAAUUUAACGUCAAUAAAAUGAUUACAUUUCAUAGACUAUGCUUGUAUUUUAUUAUUUUUGGAAAAGUAAUAGAUUUGAGGUAUGAGCUUAAUUUGUAAAACUUAUUUUGCAAAAUUUGCAUCAACCUAUAAUUAUUAAUUAUUAUUUGUGAAAUGUUGUAUGAACAUGGGUGGUUAUCAGAUUUUAUAUUUUAGAUUAAUGGCAGUGGAAUAUUGGUUGUGAUAUAAUUAAUUAUGAUUUGAUACAAGUCUUGUUUUCCUAAAUAUUCUUGGCAUUUGAAACUGAAUAUGAACCAUAUGUUUAGCUUUUGUAUUUGGUCAGAAUGAGAAUGAGAAUGAAAAAAAAAAAGAAAAAGAGAGAGAAAAUGGUAAUGGAAUAUAAACACAUUGGAAAAGUGUGGAAUCACAGAAUAAAAUUUCAUUAAUAACAACUUUAACGAUACGUUAACCUUUCCAUAUUAAGUUUGAUUACUCCAACACCACAUAUUACCUCUCUCUCUAUCUCUCUACCAUCAUUUUCUAUAUUAUCAAUUUAUACUUCUAAAAUUUUAAGUCGGUAUUAAUUAUUAUUAUUAUUUUGUAAAUAAAGUUAAUCUUUGUCAACUUUAGGAUAGAAAGCAUAAAACACAUUUCAAGUGUUUUGGAGAGGAGCAGACGUACAAUACACAAAAGAGAAAGAAAUUCUUUUUUUGAGUGUAGGAUUCCGUUCAGCGGUGUAUAUAUGUUGCUCAUGUGGGUCUCAUGAACAACGAAUUUUGUUCCAAAUCGACCUUCUUCCAUUGUAUAUAUCAAAACUAUAUCAUAAUUAAGAAUGAGAUAUUUUUUAAAAUAACAAAAUAAAUUAAAAUAUUUAUAAACUAUAGCAAAAUUUUGGAUUCUACUAAUUAUAGUCUUCUAUCGCUAUAGCAUAUGAUAGAAUUUGUUAUAAGUUGUAAAUAUUUUAUAAAAUCUACUAUUUUAAAAAAAUAUAUAUUUAAGAAACUUGUUAAAAAUAAAAGUUUAGGGCACAUUUUUAUUUUCAAAGAUCAAAUAAAUAAAACGAUUAAGUUUAAGGACUAAUAAACUUGUAAUUUAUUAAGUUUAGGGAUGAAAUGAGUUGUUAAAAGUCUUACAAUUUUAAAGAGGAAGGGGAUAACUUGCAUUGAAAAGUGAAAUUUUAUAUUCUAAAAAAAAUAAUUUGACAGAAAGUGUUUUAGUUUAUAGUUUGAAUCCAUUUCAUGUCAUGUACUGUAUUAAAAAGAAUUGUGAAUUCAGUUGAAGAAGAAAAAGAAGAAAGAAAGAGAGUCAAAUACAAGUAAAAGAUAGCAAAAAACAGAUGAGAACUUGCGGUGGCAACAAAAUAAUGGUCAAUUUCUAGGGACAAACAAACUCAAAGUUUCAAAUCAAAGUGGGAAGAUUCCAUGAGUCUUUCCUGUAUACAUAUCCAUUGCCUUCCAUUCUCUCCCCCUCUCCUUUUUUCUUCUUCAACACCCUCCAUAGGUUCUAUCAAAACAUUGAAAUAAAAUUAUAAUCAAAUAUUUUGGACAUAUGUUUGUAGAUAUGAUAGUUUUAAAUUAUGAUAAAACAUUGACAUUGCAUUAUUGUUGUUUAGAAAAAGGGAUUGCUAACAAAAACGUUGAUUGUGCAUCAUACUUUCCUUAUCGGUGCUUCCCUUUUCUUUCUUCCAUCGACGUCUUCUUUUAUUUAGUAUGCCGUUUGCUCAUUAUAAUUUCACCAUGCAUCUUUAAAGGACUCUUACUUCUCUAAUUAGGGUUGGUUGUUCAACUUAUCUUAAGAUCUUAGGAAAACAUUUUUAUUAUCUUGUUCUAGCUAUUUCAUCCUAGUUAGAAGAAGGAAACUUUACAUGUAUCGAAGACAUACUACAUUUUCCUCACCACUACUCAUUAAUUGUGAUUGAAAAGAAGGGGUCCCUAAGCUUAAGAGGAGUCUAAGUCAUUCGAACUAAUGAUGUUUUGUUUAAUGGAAAGAUAUCACUGUGAGAGGGAGUCCCACAAACUUGAGGAGAGCUCAAGUUCUUUAGAAAGGGAGUCUAUGUCUUAGACGGAGCCUAAGACCAUCUUCACCAAAAAGUAGAUAACAAACAAAGAAAUUUAGAGGGAAAAGUAGGUAGACCUAUAGGCUUAAUUAAAAAUAAUACACAAAAAAAAUUGUAUGUCGUCACCAAAUGAGGCUAAUAUAAUUUAUUUUAAAAUUUAUUCUUUUACUCGAGAUAACUUAAAAAAAAAUAUCACUAACUAGCGACAAAAUAUUCUUAAUUUAGAGUUAUUUUUUUAAUGAAAUAUUAACAGUUUCAGUUCAUAUACUAUUUGUGUGCAUGAUUUUUAAUACAUUUUUUAAGUUUUUGAUUUUUUUUCAAUAGUUCAAAAGUAUAUUUUUAAAACAAAACUUUAACGGUUUUCAUCCAAAACGUACCAAUAGGGAUAUUUAUGAACUAUUUUUGAAAGAUUGAGGGUAUUUUUGGAACUUUUGAAAAUUUAGAGAUAUUUUUUACACACGAUGUAACUUCGAUGGCUACUUUUUAUGUUUUAGUUUUUUUUUUUUUUUUUUUGUCGACGAUAGACAUGCUGGUACUUUUAAUAUAAAUCUAUGCUUUUAAUUAAGUUGUAGAAAAGUCUACCAAAUAUAAAAUAUAAGCAACAAAAUGUUACUAAAAUAAUGAAUAGACAAGUUAAAUUGUUUAAAAAUUAAAAUAGUUUUUUAUUUUUUAUUUUAAUAUUUUUAAGUAUUAUUAAUCGACAUCGACGUUUAAUCAAUAUUUUUAUUGAUAUUUAUGUGAACGUCAACCUUUCAAACACUACUGGAUAUAUUAUAAAUUAGAGUUAAUAUCUUUAUUUUAAUAAUAUACAUUAAAAAAUAUAUAAUCUAUUAGUUCCAAUAUCAAUGUUUAAUAUUCUAAAAAAAGAAUUGUAUACCGAUAAUAAGAUUUAUAACUUAAUUUGAAAGUACUAAUUAUGAAAUUAUUAUAUUAUCGAUGCCAAAAUUUGGAUGAUGAAAAUGCACGCAACCUUCGUACGACAACAACGCUAAAUUUGUAAUCUAGGAAAGAAUAAAUUAUUCAUGAUCAAAAUAUUUGUACAUCGAUAUCAUGCUUACCACACAGGCUUUAAUGCUUUAUUAGAAAGUGUAUAUAUGUAGCAAGUUAAUUAGAGAGUUUAAGUAAUAAAAUGAAGCUACUUUUCUUACGGUUAUCUUGAUAUAUUUAUAGGCGGUAAUUUAUUUGGAAACCCUCUCCCUUGGGUUUUUUUAGUUGUUUUAGGUUUAUUCUUUAUUUAUUAGGCUAAAGUGGGCAAGAAAUAGUUUGCAUCGACUUUUAAUUACGUUUAUUAUCUAAACAUUUUGAGACAAAAACUCCAAUAAGUUUCCAUUUGGACUAAACUUUAGUCAAAAAUGGUAAUUGUAUAAGUAUAUAUUACAUAAAACGUACAAAUAUAAAUACAAUAAACUAGAGCAUCCUCAUACACAUUACACAUCUUUGACUUGCUCUAGAUUAUUUUAUAUAUCUUACCGAACCUAGACUCUCUAGAUGACCCUCGAACACUUUAGCCAUGAGAGCCUUUGUAAAUGAAUCAAUAAUGUUAUGCUCUGAAGUGACCUUUGUAACGAUCAUGUGUCUCCUUGUUGAACAAUCUCCCUUAUUAGAUUAUACUUCCUCUCUAUGUGAUUUUCUCGUUUGUAGCUGUGGGAUGUUUUAGAAUUGACUACUAUCCCACUGUUGUCAUAGUAUAAAGUACGAUAAAUAAGUUUAUGUUUGGAAAAACUUCCAAAACAUGCAGGGAUUUGCUGAGCCAAACUGCUUCUUUUGCUAUUUUGCAAACAACGACGUACUUAGCCUCCAUAAUGGAGUCUAAAAUGCAUCUUUUUCUAAACUCUAAUCGAUGUCAACAAUGAUAUAUAGUAGAUCAUUUUUUACGUGUUUUCAGCUAUUCUUCAACAAUUUUAGGCAUUAGGAGAGUACCUUUUUCUUCUAGUAAUUUGAGAAUGAUACUUUAUCUUAUGGAGAGCCUCAUAUAUCAUUACUCACAAAGGAGUAUACUCAAAUGUACAUAAGCCUAAGUUCUUAUAUUGAAGAGUCUUUCACAAGUUGGAGGAAAGAUAACAUCAAAAGAGAGAGAGUCUCAUACACUAAAAAAAGUCAAAGUGUAUCGUUAUUAACAUCCACAUAGGAGGAGUUUAAGUUCCAUUAAGAAGAAGUGUCACACCUAGAAGGAGCCCAUAUAAUAAAUAAGUUAGGCUCUACAUGUGUCAUAGUUAAACAUCACCACUUUAAUUAUUUCAAAUAAGUAUUACAUUGUAAGCACUUGACUUUUUAUAUUAGUGAAUUCAUCGUCCUUUCCAGAGUAUAGCAUUCCAUCGACGUAUGAUCGCAUAUCACCAAAAUGGGUCACUAAAGGAUCUGAGUGUUUUUCUUGCUUCGUUGUUUCUAUGCUAUAUUUUUGUAUUUGUGAUAGCUUGAACAUCUUAUUUACCAAUGUAAUAUAUAGAAAUUAAAAGUAGACCCUUAUGCAUGAUGGCGUGCAAGUUAAGUGAGGUGAUAAAUGAUCAUUAAAGGUAAAGACCUUAGAGUUGUUUGGUACAACAAAAGUCAAUAUGAGAAGGUGUAAAGAGUUUUAUAUGAUGUUAAGAUUAGUUCACUACAUUUUUAUUUUCUUCUCAAGAAGUGAUAUGUUAGUUUAACAAUAUUAGAUAUAACCUUUUUAGAGGUUGAAAAGUUUCAUCCCCAUGAAUUUCAAAACAAUUUCUUUUGGGGUAUUUUUCUGUUAUUUAUGAAUUUUGUUUUCUAUAAUCAAUUCUUCUUCCAAUCAAAUCUACAAAUAUUUAUAAUAUAUGGUCAAACUCAGUAAGAGAGUAAAUUAAAUUUAGUGAUUCCAUCAUCAGGUUUUUCAACAUAAAAUCUAUAAACACUUUCUUAGUUUUUCUUAUAUUAUUGAUUCAGACAAUUUGAUCUCAAAAUAUUCCAAAACGUUAUACUAUUUUGUAACUAUUUCUCCAUCUUUUUUAAAAUUUUUUUGCUCUCAUAUUCACAUUUACACUAAUAUCUAAACUAUACUAGAAAUAAUUAAAAAUGAAAAUUUCCAUAAAUUUUCAAUAAAUUCAUAAAAUUAUAAUGAAAAAAGAGGUUAGAAAUUACCCUUCAUUGGUUCACCUUUGACAGCUAAGAUAUUUAUAAAAAAUAGAAAAACAAAACUGAUUGAAAUAGUUUUCUCAAACCCAACUCUAAGAUUCCAUUAAACAAAAUUGACUUUGAAUACAGAAUCUUUAUCUACUCUUUAAUCUUUUCAAAUUUCAAAGAAUAAUCUAAUAAUAACGUUGUAAAUAUGACAUUUGAACUUACAUCUAAAAGGUACUAAUUUGACAGUUUUACCAACAAUCUAAAUAUUCAUUCUCCUACUUUUUGUUAUAUAUAUUAUAUCAAAAGUAUAAAGUUAAAGGAGUUUGAAAUUUUUGAUAAAUAAGUCUUCUCUAUAUUAUUUUAUAAAUUAAAUAUUUAAGAUAGAAUAAAAUUUAUCAAUAAAAAAUACCUAUAGCCUUGGCCUUGGACUUAGGGCUGAGAUUCACAAAAUUUCUCUCUUCAUUUUGUUCUUAAAGUUUUCAUUUUUUUUUUCUCAACCAUAUAAAAUUGUUUAAAUUUUUCUAUAUUAAACGUGUCAUUUUUUUUUCUUUCUUGUCUUCAGACAAUUAAACAUGUCAUUUUCAAUACAUUUUUAUUCAAACUAAAUCAGUAUAAAUUUGUCCAAAAAGAAAAUGAAUAUUUUAAAGAACAUUUUUAAAUAUAUAAAAAUCUCUCGAUAUUUAAUGUGUAAAGAUAUAAUUCAAGUUUUUAAUAUAUAUUUUGAGAAUAUAGUAAUUGAUAUUUAUAUAAAAUGAGAGAUUUGUAAGUUUUAUUUUGAAGGUGAGAUUUGUUUAGGGAACGGGGAGCCCUCACCCAUUGGUCCAUUCUCCAUCUGAUCGGACAAUCAGUGCCGGAACCGAGAUGGGUCUCCACAGGACCCUGCCCCUAGAGAAAAUGGAGAUGUCUACGUAGAGGUAGAUGUGGAAUGUGGGCUAUUUAUGACCACACCUACCUUAUGGAACAACGUGAACAAAGAAAUUAAAAGAGUUUCAUUCAUUACCUUCAAAGUAUCUACAUAUUUAAAAGCUGUAAAAAUUAAACUACAAAAUAUCUUAACUAAGAACUGUAUCAUUAAAAAUUUAAAAGCAGAGAAAAACCAUAAACAUUCUUGUUUCUCUCACAAUAAUUCAACAAUGGCUUCAGGUUCAGGAUUAAACUCCAAUAUCUUCUUCUUCUUACAAAUCUUCAUCAAUCCAAACCACAAAAUCCCACCCACCGUCAUUCCACCACUCACCAACAACACAUUCUUAUGGGUAAAAACCAUCACAACCACCAGAAACCCAGACGGAAUCAAACACAUCAUAAUCAAACCUGGCAGUUUCAAUGGAACUUUGAACGGCCUCUUUAUCCCUGGAUGCCUCCAUCUCAACCAAACAAACGAUGAAAAUUCCAACAACAUUCCUAAACUGUAUAUGAAAUUCGCCGACGCUACAAUGUCCGUGAAAUCCAUGUACGAAACCGCCAGAGAAAUCGCCGUGCAGAUCACAAUCCCAAUCCAUGGCGUCUUGAACCAUUUCGCUCUACUCCCGAAGAAUUUGGGUAAAACCCCAAUCUCCGCCAUACCCAGAAUUUGAUACGCGCUGCUGCUUAAUUGGGCUUCGAAAAGCCCAAUUGCUGAUAACGUUGAACCGAUUUCCAGGAGGAAUUUCAGCCAUUUUCCGGCGAUUAUUCCUGCGGCUUGUGCGUGGAAUCCAGAUCCCCAAGCGGAUUGUUCAACAUCUACGGCGCCGAUUACGGCUAAGAGUGGGAUUAAGUAAGAAAGACAAGUGAAUAUUACAGAGACGAACAGAGCCUUGGGGAACGUUUUUUGGGGGUUUUCAACUUCUCCGGCGAGUGUGCUUACAUUAUCCCAGAAAUUGAGGUUCCAAAACAGAGUGUUGAGAUACAGAUUCCAAUCCCUUUCCUUAUCGCCCAAAAUCAGCCAUCGAUGGGGCUUGAUUUUGGGGAUUGCAAUGAAGGUCAUUAAAAUGAAGGGUAAGAGAGAUAAGAAGGCUAAAACGACGGCAACGUAUCCGACGAUGGUGAGACCGAUGUAGUUGAGGGCGGCGAGGAUGAGGGUGGAAGCGAGGACGGCGAUGCGGCGGGGCCAGCCGGAUUCAAGCGGCGGAGCAAUUUUCUUGAUGUAAUCGAUACAGAGGACAGGGAAGGCGGCGAUGUUGAUGACGCCGCUGAGGAGUUUCCAUGUACCCAUGAGAGAACCCCAGAAGGGUCCGAAGGCUCUUUCGGCCCAAAUGACGAAGCCGCCGUUGCCGGGGAAAGCGGUGGAGAGCUCUGCCGUGAUUAGAGCCUCCGGGACACUCCAUAUGAAAGGAAAGACGAUGAAGCCGAUGAUGGCGAGGAGAGGUCCGGCGGCUUGGACGGUUGGCUCUUCGCCGUAAGGGCCGCCGGCGACUUCGAAGUAGAUGAGGAAGAUGAGGGGGAUUAGAGUGAGUUUUUUUCUGACUGAGGGAGGGGUGGAGGGAGUGGUUGUGGGGAGGAUUUGAGAAGAGGAAUCGGUGGUGGCCGGUUGGUUGGAGUUGGACUGUUGUUUGUCAUCUGCCAUGAUUGAUUGGGAGAAGCUAACAAACAAACAAAACCAAACAACUAAAAAUAGAGCCUUGUAAGAUUAUAAAAGACAAAUAAAAAGAGGAAAAUAGAAAAAUAUAUCAACAAGUUUGUUAUUAAUAUUAUUAAUUCAAAAAAGAUAUAUACCAUUUUAGUCUUAAAUUUUGAAAAAGAAUGGGUUUGGUCUACAAUGUUUAGAACACAUCUCUUUAGUCUUUAGUCUUUGGGUUUGUAAGAAUAUAUUCAUUUGGUGUCAAGCUUUUUAAUAAAAAUACUUCCAUGACCUUUGUUUUGAAGUCCAUUUUUAAAAAUUAAAAAGUAAAGAAAAGGAACCUUUUGAAAAAUAAUGAUAAAAGGAGUCAAUUAUCCAAUACAUUUUGAAAACCCACAUUUUUGUUUUAUAGGUAAUAAAUGAGUUGAGGAGGAGAGGGCCAUAUUGUUGGAUGCUAAAUGCUAAAACUGCAUGAUUGAUUGAUUUAUUAUUUAAGGGCAAUUUCUCCAUUCAACUAUCCAUAAAUCCACAAAUCCUUUUAAAUAUUCUAUAAACAAUCAAUUUUCAAUCUAAAAAUCAAAUCUUAACUAUUAAUUGACAAUUUUUCAUAAACAUAAAACAACCCUCCCUAUUUUUUCAAGAAAAGUAUUCAACUUUUGCUCUCCCUUUCCAUUUCUUUCAUAUGCAAUUUCUUGUUUACUUUUUCUUUUUUUUUUCCAUUUCCUAGAUUAAGCAUUUAGUUUUUAAAAAUUUAUACUUAUUUCUUCUCAAUUUGAUUUUCAUUUUUUCAAUUAAAACAUUUAAACUCCUGAACAAAAAAUUAUAUUUACCAAAUUUGUUAUAUGAAAAAAAAAAAAAGUGUUGUGAACUGUUUUUUUAAUUUUUUUAUCUAAUGCAAUUUUCCUAUAACAAAACACCAAAAUAUCUAAUGCAAUUUCCCCUCUCCACCGUCUUUCUUCUCUUCUUCUACAUUUUUUUUAUAAUUUUUUGAAAUCAUCGUCUUUGUUUUCAAUCAAUCAUAAAUUUUAUACCAAAUAUAUCAAAUAUAAAAUAUUUUGAAAAAAAAUCGUUAGGAUAUUGGUACAUGAUCAUGUAGAUUUGAAACGUUACAAAAAAAUUAUUAAAUAUAUUACACCAGUGAGUGACCAAUUAAUUGUGUGUUAACCGAACAUAUUUGGUUUUCUAUUUGUGGGUAAUGUAAACUUUUUUUUUUCUUUUUGAAAUGGUUAAAUAUUCAGUGGAUUUGUUAUAUUUUUUUAAAAGACCUACUUUUAAAAACUAUAUUAAUAUAUAUAUAUAUAUAUAUAUAUAUAUAAUAUAUAUAUAUAUAUAAUAUAUAUAUAUAAUAUAUAUAUAUAUUUAGUUUUCAAAACAUAACUUAGUUUUAUUUAAAACGCUAGCCCGAAAUAGAUAACAUUACAAAGGAACUUAGAAAUAGGACUAGUUUUUAAAAACAAAAAAUAAACUAUUUGAUUUUUAGUUUUUUUUUUUUGUUUUUGUAAAUUAAGUCUAUAAAUAUUCAUUCUACUCCUAAUUUUUUGGAUUUUUAUUAUUCAGAUACUAAAAAAAAAUGUAGUGAUUAUCAAACAUGACCUUAAUAAUUCAAUUUUAGCAUGUAACAGUUCAUAUGUACAUUUUCAAAUUGGUAAAAUUAUCUAAUUAUAUUUUUAAAAUAAUACAAAAAUAUAAUCAAAUUUUUAUUAAUGAAGUUUAGUGGGAUGAAGGUGGUGAUAUAAAAAAGGAAAAGAAAUAAAAAUUUGGAAAACGUAAUUGAAAUGAGUGGUUUUGGAUGUGAGCUAAUAAAUGUAUAUCUAAAAUAGCAUUAUUUGAAAAUUCCAUUAGUUUCUUUACCUUUUCUUUUCUUUUCUUUUGGGGAUUCUCGACUUGUAUCUUUACGCUACAAUAUGAGAAAAUUAGAAUAGCCUUCAACAUUAAAAUAGGAUUCCAUAUGAUGCCUUCUAAUUCAUUUAUUAUUUCCUUUUAAAGCAAACCACAACACAAUCUUACCCCAUCCAAUCAAAACUAAUCUUUUUCCACUCCUUUCCUCCUUUUAUUUUCACCUCUCUUCCAUUACAUGCUUCUUAUGAAAAAUCUUAUAAAGUCCCUCAUCCCACAUAAUUGAAUCAUCGAAAAGGAAGAUACACAUUGUUGGUAUAGGUAGUAGUUUCCACUUCUUAUAAAUCUUUUCUAAUCGUAUUAAAUAAAACUUCUCUUCGGUGUCCCUAAUAUAGUAUUAAUUUAAUACAUUUUAUGUCACAUCUUAUCAUAUCAUUUUAUUGUUAGUUAACUAACGGUCACAAUGGUCUUAUGAAUCAUUUAGAAUCAUUUUCUAAACUUUUUCAAGGCUCAAAUGUUCAUUUUAAAACUUAACGGACCAAAUAGAUAUCGAUUUUAAACAUCAACAAAUAAUUAAAUAUAAAGAGAAUUAUAAAAGUAAUAACUACUCAUUUCUCCAACUCAGCGUUUGUAGUCCAACGGUUAGGAUAAUUGCCUUCCAAGCAAUAGACCCGGGUUCGACUCCCGGCAAACGCAUUUUGCUAUUCAAAACCAAACCAAGAAAACUUAUGAAAUCUUUGUCAAUUUUAUUCUAGUAUAUAUAUAAGAAGAUUUAUAUAAAUAGAUGUCACACUCUUCUCAAAGAAGUGAGGUGUGACGAUGUCAAUUUUUGUUACGAUGUUUCACCUAUUUUUUUUAUAAGUGUGUGGUCGUGUGAUAUUGGCGUGGUUGAAGACAAAGUGUGAAAAAACGUGCAACAAAAUUAUGUGUUGAGAAAAGUCUUUUACGAAGUACUCAGUCUGUGUGAUGUGUGGUAUUGAACAUUUUGUUUAUGACAUUGUGACUGAUUUGUUUGAGAAGAUCCGUGCAAGUUAGGGGAGCCUAAACAUUGAAGAUUGUUUUGAGGAGUCUCUCACAGGGGGAGACUGCAUAUUAAGACGAAAGGUAGAAGCGGAAUUGAUUGUUAACCUUUCUGCUAAGUUUAAUGAUUCUAGUGCCAUAGAAUUUCAGAAGGUCGUGCAUGUGCAUGGGGUUUGCUUUACAAUCUCUUCAUCUCUCCUCAAUUAGUUUAUGGAAUUAUCUGUGUAUGAAGAUCUUGCUGUUACUUAUCAAUCUUUUGAGUAAUUGGUAGUGGAACUCACUAGUGGCAUAGUUCACUCUUGGCCUACAAAUGGUCAACUACCUUCUGUUCGGUUGAGCAUCAAAUAUGUUAUUUUUCAUAAAAUAGCAUCCUAUCAUUCUAUCUACUAUUGAUGUGGCUGGUCCAGCUUCUAAGACUAUGAACUUGAGUUUUCGACUGUUUCAAGAAGCACGAAUCACAUGUUUAUGAUCUACGUCUUUAGAUUUCUGUCUUGCUCCUGGUGGUUCUCGCUCCUCUUUCUUCAUUCUUCCCGCCUCCUUCUGUUGGGUUGUUGCUUUUUGCUCCCAUGAUGUCUCAAGUUCUUCAAGUACUUUUUGAGGAGUCGAGUAGAGUAUUAUGCGGGUUUUAUUUGCUCAUUGCUCUAUGGUGGAGUCAUUACUGACAAGAUCUUCAAAGGAUGAUGUUUUCAGUUACUGUUCCUGCUUCUUAACUUUAUUUUGUCAGCAAGCAAAGGGGAGUGUAUAUGGGUGUUAUGUGAUGUGAUCUUCUUCAACACUCUAUGAAUGAAUAUGAAUUUGCUAUUUUGUUUUGUUGAUGAUUAGCUGGUUUAGAUCUGCUUUGGUCCUCUACGAACAGAUAUGGAUUUGAUGUUUUGCUUUGUUGAUGAUUAGCUUAUUCAGAUCUGGGUAUGAUAUUUUUUUUUGUGACUAAAGUGUUGUGUGGCUAGCUAUUUUUGGUUUGCUUCUCAAUAUAACUUCUGGGUUGUUUCUAGUUUCUCUGUGUUUGGUUCUGCUAGUGAUUAGGUUGUUGGUUUGUUUUGUGCUUGUCUGCUCAAAUAAAGGAAGCUGGUCUCAAGGGGGAGUUUGUUAUUGUUGUGGUCUCACUUCCUUUAUUGUAUUUAUUUAUUAUGUUAUUCUGAAUUUGGUUAUUGAGAUUGGUUGGUUGGUUGUGCUAUCCCUUCAUUCUCGAGUUGUUUGGAUCCCUUCCCAUAGUUACUUCAUAUUAUUAUGUGAAUGUUUUGUUAUGAUUUGUAGAAAAAAAAAAUAAUUUCUUGAAAAGGUGUGGUUGGUGAUAUAUUUCGAUUGAUGAGACGUUUCGAUGUGUCCCUUCUUGACUUAUGAAUUACGAUAUUGCACAUAGAAGAUAGAAAAUUACUGAAAAGUCCAGAAUACUUGAUGAGAAGAUUGCAAGUGGUCUUUGAUAUAUAAUCUCUUACCAUAGAUCUAAAGCCCAUCAGAUGUAGAUAGUGUGUCAUUGAACUGGGUAACAAAAGUUUGAUGUGUUCUAUGUGAUUUUACGUGACUCCGUAACUAAUUCUUAUUUAGUCACAUUGGUAAACAAACAAGAAAGAAAUACACAUAAAUUUAUGAAAUGUUGGUUUAAUUCCAUGGCUUGUCAGCACAGUUGUAAGGUCGGCAAUAUUAAGCAGCAAUGUCUUUGAUUUGAAUUUCAGUGUCAUAAAUCUUUCCAUUUCGAUCACCAAGCAGUAGGAAGAACAUAAUGUGCAUAAAUCCAUCUUUUAUUAUAUAUCCUGAACUUACCAUCAUCCAUAUUUGUAAUGCUCCUCUAGUGCUUUUUCAUUGGACUCCCUCUUGGAAAACCAAAUCUAUAUAUCAAAUAAUAAUUCAAUUCACAUAUGAACAACAAUAUUUAGUAUUUUACAAAAAACAAAAAACAAAAACUAAUUAAUUAGCUGAUCGUUUUGUAUUGAUUUUGAACUGACCUGAGCUAUAUUAACUGCUUGAAUAUCAGUUUGACCACCUUGGUAUAGGAAUUUGAUGGCCAAAUACUAUGGUUUGCUACUCCAUUCUACAACUUGCACCAUCAAAUUUUUGUUUUUGUAAUCACAUGGUAUCCUUCAAAAUAAAAACAAUCCCCAAAAUUUAUAUGAGUUCAUUUAAUUUUGAACUAACUUAAAUAAGGGCCUUCAUAUAUCAAAUGUUAUUUAUAUAUAAUAUUUAUACCUCUUCUAUUUUACAUCCAACGUAUCAAUUUUCAAAAGCCUUCUUCACCAGAAGAAAUUCUGUUUUAUUUUCAUAAUUUUGAUCUGUCAAAACUAAUUUUGUUUUCAAUAAGUUGCUCAAUCUCUUGUUCUUGCAUCUUACCUACGUAAAAGGCAAACAUACUUGUCAUCCUCUAAAUUUUAAAGAGUAUAUAAUGACGUGCAUAAGAGUGAUGUAUAGAUGAUAUGAUGUACAACCACACAACUUUGAGUCAAACUGAUUACAAAAGUAAAUGAUUUAUAAUUUCAUACAUGAUAGUGAUCUAUAAAUAUAGACGAUAGGUACGAAUAUCAUAGUCAAAUGUGGAAAUGUGUGCUUAAAAUAGAUAGAUGUUGCUACAACUAUAUAUUUGAGUAAAAGUAGCUAUACAAGAAAGGAAUGGUGUAUUUUUGCAUGGAAGGGUUUGAUCUAGACCAUAUAUUUAAAUCACCAUGAUAUGUAGACAUAUGUUUGGAUAGAAAGUCUUUUGUAUUAUCAGAUUGUGGAAGCAAAGAGAGGAUAAAAAAUAAAAAAAAGAGACAAUAUAAAUAUAUAUAUAUACCUGAUAGCAUGCACCACAGGCAAUUCCUUGUUUAUAAAGGGAAGGCCCAACAGCUACAUUAAAUCCUUUAGAAAUAUCAAACUCCAAGCUUUCAUAUCCACAUCAUAUACCAUUCAAUAUAUUUCAAUUUAAUUUAAUAAAGUUUUUUUUUGUUUAUGCAAAAAGUUUUUUUUGUUAUGAAUGACAAAAUUAUUAAAAAUAUAUCAAUUAAGAAAUUUAAAACUUUAUUAUAUUUUGUAAAUAUGACACAGGGACCAAAGUUUUUAAAUAAACAAGAGAAUAGUAUGGAACAUUUUAAAUAGAAUAUGAUCAAUGUUGCAAAACGUUGUUCUCUCCGCAUUUUCUUACUUGCUUCCUAUAUUUCUCUUUGUUAUUAUUAUUCGUAAGAAACAACUUUAGACAAUAUCAAUUUUCAUAUUUUGCAAUUUUGUUUUUGUUUUAAAAUAUUUUAGGCCCAUAUUUUGCAAAGAAUCCCAAAACCAUUAUUAUUUUGACACGAGUUAUAUAAUCUUUGUAAGUUCCUUUUUUUGUUAGCAUUUCGAGACACUUGAUGCAUAGGUUUAAAAUGUUAAGCUUGGAGGUGAGGUCGAGAGAUUUAAUUUAGAUAGUAUGAAUUUAAGAAAACUAAGUUUGAAGUGCAAAUUUGAAGGUUUGAAUACGUAGUGACAUGCUUAGAAUACCGAACAAUGUAAUGCAAACUUAUAAGUGUUGAGUUUGUGAAAUAUUUUAUUAUAUUUAAUUAAUGGUUCUAUUUAUGAAUCAUUUGAAUUAAUUUAAGAAGAAAACAUAUAUAUAUAUAUAUAUAUAUAUAUAUAUAUAUAUAUAUAUAUAUAUAUAUAUAUAUAUAUAUAUAUAUAUAUAUAUAAAUACUCAAUUUUAUUUAAAUACUUUUAGUAAAAGGGAGAAACUAAUUUAGUUUAAUUUUUUCUAAAAUUUUUCAAUAGAGUAUAAGAAUUUGAACUUGGAUAAUACAUGCCAGUUAGUAAAGUGUUAUGCUUACAUUAAUAAAAAAUAAUACUACAUAAAAAUUUCUGCAAGAUCAUUAAAUGGAAUAAAAGCUAAAUAAUUCUUUGGUUAAAAAUAUCAUAGGUUGACAUCGAUAUUAAUUCUUUGAUUUUUCAUCUUUUUAGUCCUAUACAUUUAAUUGUCUAAAUUUAACAUCAAAUCAUAAAUUUAAUUAGUCUUUAUGCCAAAGACUUAAAAUAAAGCUAAUUUAUGUUCAUUUUUAUUAAAAAAAAUUGUUACAUGUAAGAAUAAUAAAGAUUUUUUUAAAAAACCAGAACAAAGCGUAAAACUAUUUACACUGUAUAGAACAUUUGUUAAAAAGGAAAAAGUCCACAAGCUCACAACAUGGAAAAAAAAAAGUUCGAAAUUAAUCGAUCACACACGUGAAAAAACAAUUUUGUACCUAGUCUAAACAAUCUUGUAUUUAGUCUAAAUGAUUUUGUAUCCAGUCUAAACGAUAUUAUACUUGUGUAUCCAGUUUAAACGAUGUUGGUGAACGAAGAGAUGAGAGAUGAUGAAAAAAGAAGAAGAAGAAGGACACAAGUAUCAAGAGAAAAAUAUUGACUUUGUGAAAAAAGAUGACAUCCAAGAUGAAAGAUGAUGAAAAAGGAAUAAAUUAUAGACGAAGAGAUGAAGAAAUUAUGGAAGGAAAAAUCUAGAAUUUAUGAAAAAAUUAACGUGUAAUAAUAAUAAUGGUUUGAUUUUAAUUUAAGAAAUGAUAUAAGAUAGUAUGUGAAUAUAUUUUGGAAAAAUAGGAAGGGACUACUAUUACAUUUUAAAGCUUUUUAAAAAUUUGAUAAAUCCAUAAUUUACGACUAAUAGUUCCUUGCAUAUUCAGCGUUUGUAGUCCAACGGUUAGGAUAAUUGCCUUCCAAGCAAUAGACCCGGGUUCGACUCCCGGCAAACGCAUUUUUGACAACUUUGCUUUUUUAGUCCAUUUAAUGUUGAAAUAACUAAAUUUGUAAGGUUAAUUUUCAUAAAUACAACCAAACACCAAAAUAUUUAACUGUUGAAUAAAAUAAAAAAAAUCCAAAUUUUGUAAUACAUAUAUCUUUCCUUUUUAUUUACUUAUGAGUGCUAUUUAAAUGUUAUAUAUAUUUAAAAAUGUGAAAUGAAAAAAAUGCGUGCGUUUGCCGGGAGUCGAACCCGGGUCUAUUGCUAGGAAGGCAAUUAUCCUAACCGUUGGACUACAAACGCCGUUGGUUAGAAUAUUUACAGUGCAAUUGUUUUUUAAGUGUAUUACCGAAGCAAUACAGUGCAAUUUAUAUGUAUAAGGAUUUUUUAAACCCUAAAUAAUUGGAAGAGAAAAAAAAAAGAGAAGAGUUUACGUAUGGAAAUACACGAUUGAUUUGACCAUAAAAAAACAGUUCUUUUCUAACCUUGCUGGUAAGGUGUUUGAAUCUCUGCUGACAUGAUUUUUUAAGCAAACAUUUUUUGGGUAAUAUUGUUAAAACCAAUAAACACAAACGAGCAAAGAUGAUGUGCUUCUACGUCCGGAUGGAAUAUUUUACUUUAAUAAUGUUGUUUAGAAAAAUAAGACGGUUUUCAAACUCAAUACAGUCACUCCCAAACAACUUAAUCACCCAAUCUUUUCUUAGGCUCAUCCCAAGGAAUGGAGACUCUCUUUCAUGUUAACUUAGACUCUCGCUAGGUUGUUGUAUUUGGUAAAGGAUGUCUUAGACUCCUCUUAAGACAAAGAUACUCCCUAUCAAGAAAACAUGAGUUCCUCUUAAGUGGUGUGACAGCUUCUUCUCACUUCAACUGCAUCUUUCCUUCUUAGAACCAAGUCACUUUGUUCAAUUUGCAUAGGCACCUCCUUCACUUGAAAAUCCCUUCUUGGUUAAAAUGCAAUAUAAUUUUAGUGUGAUGAAUAUCUUGGAGUAUAUCUCUUAACAAUAUUGCAAAAUAGCUUUCUUCUUUCCAAUGCUUAUCUCCAAUGGCAACCAAAUACACAACACGAUGAUGGAACAUACAAUAAUCUUCUUCAAACUAAAAGGCGAACCCUAGACAAUUAUAGGACUACAUAUCUUUUAAAUAAACAAAGUGGAUAGACAAAGGAGCAAUAACCCUAACUUUCAAAGCAGUCAUGCAUGCAUAGAAAAUGAAAGAAAUCUGCAUAGAAUACUACUGAUAAGAAAGGAAAGUAUUUUUCAAAAGUCAACAUUUUUAAUUAGAAAGCAUCCACUUGUCAGAAAACCACCAAUGCAGAGACAUCUCACAUAGUAUCUAUAAAACUUAAAACAAAUUAUAUUGUCAAACAUAAGUUUUAACAACGCUAAUUCUGUAAGACCCAUCCUUGGAAAAGUUGGUGCCAAGGAUGAGAACGAUGCAAUACAGGAAGCUAGGUGUCCAAGUGGGGAGUUGUUUAAGUUAGGUGUGAAGGGUUAGACGUUCAAAAGCAAUAAAUAGUUUUGUAGAAUUGGUCGGACGGAUUUUGUCUUCCAAAUUCGUGCCAAAUAAUAAACCGAAUCACACACCAAAAUUUAGUUUUAAUGAGAAGUUUGGAUUGAUCACAGUAAGCACACUGAUUCCUCAAACAAAUGAAUUUUGAACCACGUAACGGGGUUGAGUAGAGAUUGAUUGCAUGAAAGUAAAUAUCAAUUAGGAAAGUAAACUUGUGAAAAUUCAACGACAAAAGGAUCUAACUUGCAUUAUAGCGAUUUCCCCCUUAUUUAAAGAAUUUAUGCAUUGAACUAACUUAAUUUUUGUCCCACUUCCUCGUCUCCCAGCCACGCCAAAUUAUGGAUUACAUAUCACAAAAGGAUAAUAUUAUUGAAAGAAACAUUAGGUAAACAUGUGAGAAUAUUUAUGAUAUAUAGAUAUAGACGAACAUGUAGGAAAAAGAUUCAAAAUGAACACCGUAGGUUUAUGACAUAAAAACAAAGAUUACAUUAUUCUUCUUGCAAAGACCAACAUGCUUCUCUCUGCACCCGAUGAAAAGGAUAAACGUUUUGGAAAGCUAUUAUUUCCACCUGCAAAGGACAAACAUAUUAAUAUCAGCUCUAAGACAGUACCAAGUAUUUUUAGGAUGGUUAUUAUUUACAGUUAAAUCAAUACAUGACAAGACAACAAUAUCUUGAAACAAAAUUAAAGCUGUCUUGCUAAACAAUCAAGGAAACAAAAUUAACAACCUUCUAAUAAUGAAGUACCCAAAAAUAGGAGGAGCUUCUUUAUAUCUUAAAAGGUCACCUUCGUCUCUAACCUUCAAAUAUAAUCUUCCAAAUAGCCUAUUUUGUUCCUUAAACUUUUAAACAUUUUGUUAAGUCCAUAAUCUUGUAUUUCACAUUCAUUUUUCACCAGUCAUCAACAAAAUUAGAAAUCUUUUAAGAACUCAAAACCUAACCUACUAUACGUUGCUUCAAGUACUUGUCUGCUACAAAUAUUCAUAGAUUAGACAAAUAUAGUGAUAGCGAUUUUCUUAAACAAUUUAUCCAAAAGUAAGGACAAGGAAUCAAAUGGCCUUUCAAACCAAGUUUAGGGACUAAAAUAUAGAGUAAACAUAAAAAGUUUGGGGGAUAAAAGAAGAUUUAAACCAUUUUAGAGGUAUUGAAUCAACAUUAAAAAGAGUUCAUGUUCCCCAAUAUCCUCAAAUCCGUAGUACUAUAUCUUCUAACAAAAGAGAAGUUAGAGACAAACACCUCAUAAGUAAACUGUAUAAGCCAUGUCUAUGGUACUAACCUUCCAAAGAACUCCCUUUCCUUUUGAACUCAAGGAGUCUUGUUAAUGAGGAAGCAUUAGAAUGAGAUGACAGAAUUAGAAGAACAGUUUUCUCUAGCAGCAAAACUGAAGGGAUGGAAAGGUAGCCGAUAAACAGGUACCCAAUAAUUCUAUAAAAGCACCCCUCUUAAAAACAAGCUACUUUGGAGGAGAAAAAAAGAAAGAAAAGAGAUAAGAAAACUAAUUGUCCAUGAUUUACAGUUAAUCUGUUUUUUUUUUUUUUACAUGAAAAUGUGUCCUAAAGUGUAUUAUAAUCACUCCACUGAUCAGAUUGCAACCUCAGCAGAGUCCCAUCUACUCUGUAGCUGAAUCACUUACUUCAUAUCCAAUUCCAUCAUUCACUUGAUGAAUGAGACAUUGUGAAAUCAGGAGUUUGAUUCUAGAUAAAUAUUGUCAUAGUCCUAUUCUGAGCUUGGUUAAGCCUUAACUUUAUUUUCUGGUUUUUAAAGAUUAAGUUUGCUUGCCGAUAAAUUGUUGUUUUAAAAAGCCAUCGGAAAGUGAGAAAACAACACAGUGAAGUAAUAAUAGGCAAUAAGCAUUAACAAAAUUAGAGAUCACAAGAAGUUAAAUUUUUCUAAAACUGAAAAGUUAUCUAUUGAAGCAAUAAGCAUUCACUUAACUUCCUGAAUAAAAACUACCUCGUCUGAUCUCUGACUAGGAACUGCAAUUAACAAUGAAAUUCAAUGUACAAAAGACAAUCAUUCUCAAUCAACUCCUUUACAAAUUCCAGCAGAUCUGAUAGUUCACAAUGAAAGAGUUGGCAUCCCAUUGGAUCUAGUGGAGAAAUUUCAUAUUGUCCAACAUCUCAGGAACAAAACAUCUCUUGGUGAAAAAACAAUUCUCCCUUUCAGCCACCAUAGCUUUAUCUAUUGAAAUACAUUGAUAUAUUGGGUCCGAAAAUUGGAGAGUUUGACAUACAUAUUAAAGAUUCAUUAACCAUUAAUUCAUGGACCUAUCUAACAUCUUUUAUAACUACUUGUCAGAAGAAAUACCAUUGAUUCAUCUAUUAAUUUUAGAAGUAAAAACAAGUUAAUUAUUAAUUUAAAUAAUCCUAAUAAUUCUUUUUAUUUACUUACAGAAAUAAAUAAUCGUCAACAAAUUCAUAAAAUCAAUAUCGAUAAUUUGAUUUUGAUAAUUUUGGAUAUAGAUAUCAAUACUGAUAAUUUGGAGAAGCUUUAGGUGACGUCAUUAGAUGGGACAUUCUCAUCGAUCAUAGGACAAUUAUUUUAGUCAACCAAAACUCAAAUCACAUCACAGAACCCAAAUCUCAGAACAAGCAUACUACUAGUACUGACUGUCACUAUUUCAUAUUUCAGAUCCAUGAAUCACAAACAGACUGAUAAACAGAAAUAAAACUGGAAAUUCAAAAUCAAGAGUUUGCAUCUAAAACAGAACAAGCAAAUAAUCAGUCUCCAAAACAGUAAAUUUCAAGAAGAUGAGAUCAAAACUACCUCACAUUGCCUCUGUUUUCCCUUCUAGGCAAGCUUUCCUUCUGCAUGUAGGAAUGGACUCAAACAUGCUGACCGGCAAAAUCUCAGACAAGAACCCAACCGCAAACUCGAUGGAUUUAGAGUCUGGAGUAACCUUGAUUCCAGUAAUAGGAAGCCAGGCGAAGAGCUUCUUGACUUCAAUCCCAGAAACAUCGCUCAAUGACCUAUUGCUCAAUUUCCCCUUGAUAUUCUUUCCGUAAUAGACCAGAUCAGAGAAAUGGACAUAGCAACUGCUUUGGAGUUGGAUUUCGAAGGUACCAUCGUCUGAGAGAGUGUAGGAGUUGACAUUGUCGGGUAAGAGACCGACUGGAAAACCGUAAAGGGGAAGAAGAUCGUGGAUAUCAGAUGACCUGAGGGGAAAAUCCCUUGCGGAAAAGGAGAGGUGGGUUUGAGUGGAAAAGAGGAGAAUCAGAAGAAAGAGAGAGAAUGGGGAGAGGAUUGUGGAGAAGGAAGCCAUUGAUGGAGUCUUGAGGAAGAAAAUGGGGAGAAAAUUGGUUGCCGCUUACUUGGUUGAAACAUGUUUAAAUAGAUGCCAACAGGUGAUAAAAUAUUUCUUCCUAUUGUCUCUCAAUAAUUCAUUACAUUGAAUGAGUUUUUAAUUGAUGAAGAUUAUCUCGUAACUAAGUCGUAAUAAAAUAACAAAAACGAUCUUCUUACAAGAGCCCAUGUGAGAACCAAUCACUCUGUGCCCCCAAAUAUCAACUCUUCCAUUUCCACCCAUUACCUCUUUUAAUUAUCUAAUCUUGUUUAAGCCAUUGACUUGGGUACGCUUUCUAUUUUAAAUGCUAUUUCUCACUCCCUCCUUUCUCACAUCUCACCAUUCCUCACUCCCCAUCUCUCAUUCCCUCUGCUUUCUUUGUGUUUCCUUCUCCAAAUACCUCGUCUCUCUCUCUUCUUCCUUCUACUUUCUCUUCCCAUUCUCUCUUCCCCAUUGUUUUAAUAUAAUAUAUAGGUUAAAAUAUAUUAUAAUAAGAUAUACUAUAAUAGUCUGCACUCCAAACACCGACUAUAAUAUUUCAUACUAUAACAUUCUGCACCCCCAAACGCAAAUUAUUAUAAUACCCACAAUUUACGCAUUCCAUUUUUCCUGUUUUUGAACUCUUUUUUCUACUUUAUAAUAGUUCUAUUAGCAUGUGACUAACAUUUGUUUCCUCAUAAAAUAUCUUAUACCAAUUUUUAAAUAUACUUAAUAUGUAAUAUAUAUGUCCAUACUCUUAGAAAGAUCUAGGAAGAUGCAAAAUAUUAGAGAAAAGUUUUUCCUCAAAUCAUGUUACAAUAGAGUGGGGGGAAACAAUUUUUGAAAGCUCCAAAGCAACCCAAAGGGGAUUGUGAUCCAUAUUAAUAUACAUUACACAAAUUACAAUUCAUAUAUAAACCCUUCUAGUGGAAUUUAAGGCUGGUCAAAACAUUGUUGUUGACAGGGUCAGACAAAUGAUCCAAAAGGUUUUGGUAAGGUCCAACACCAGUAACAAGACCUUGUAUAAAGUAACCCAAAAUUGCCAACAUUGCAAGCCUUCCAUUCUUAAUUUCCUUCAACUUCAAUUCCUUCAUUGACUUCUCAUCUUUCCCAAACCCUAGUGGGUUGAACAAUGGCCCGCCAGGGUAAGCUGGGUCCCCUGAUCCACCCAAGAACUUCUCCAGGCCCAAAAAGUAUUGUUUUCCCAUGGAUCCUGGCUUGGCCCAAUCUUGAAAUCUUCUGUGUUCAGCAAAGCCCAUCAGAGCCAUUUCAAAUACAAAGAGUGUGUAAGGGUCUGCCCAAUAGUUGUAGGUCCCUGCUGGUGGGAUGACCCCUGUUUUGAACCAUGGGAGGGCUGUUUCUGGUGGGAUUAACCCCAGUGAUCCAAAGAUUUCUGGGGCUAUGGCUCCUGCUGCUCCCAACAUUGCAAACCUUCCGUUGAUCACUUCGCCGUAUGCCAACCAUCUUGGCUCGAUGAACCCUCCUGUGCCUUCGGGAUCAGAUAGCCCCAGUGGGUCAAACCCGAAAUCGCCUGGCAGACUAA
rnacentral:lncRNA from 1 species